GUCGACCUCUAGCGAGAUCUCCCCCCCUUCGUUCUUAUAGUGUGUGUGAGAAGCGAAGUAAUAACAUAAGAAGAAGAGGAGGAGGAGAAGACGGACGAUGCGAGCAGACAGCAGCGUGUCUCACGUUAAACUAUAUAUACAUAUAUAUAUAUAUAUUUCUUGAGCGUCAAAAACUCCUCAUUUGCCGUCCAACUAUUGAGAUAGUGGAGGAGAGAGAGAGCUAAAAUAUUCGUUUACAAUUUGAAGCAGCAGUCAUAGAUUGAGCUGUAGUUGUUGUAGUAGUGGAAAGGAAAGUACAGCUGAAAUCAGCUGAAAAAUCCUAGCAGUUUGCUCCAUCAAGUUUUGUUUGUUGUUUGAUGACACAUAGUCUCUCAUUCACUCACAGACUCUGUAAACGUUUACAUCGGCUGCUGGAUCCUACCGUUACAGUCGACUGAACUCUUGUUGUAUUUUGAGCCCGUGGGAAUUAUAAACCCAAAGUAAGGGGUGUGGAAAAACAAACCUUUUUGUCACAUAAUCGCGAGAAUAUACAUUAAAUAAUAACAACAAUAUUAAAAAAAAUAUUACAAAAAAAGGAGAAUUUCUAUAAUUGACUGACAGUUUCCGUAGAUGAUGUGACAAGAUUGUCUUCCUAUGUCACAGCAAAGGUAAGUUGUUUAUCUUAAUAAAAUAUGGACUAUAUAUAUAUAUAUAUAUAUAUAUAUAUAUAUAUAUAUAUGUAUGUAUACACUCACACACAUAACAUCCAGAGAAAGUGAGUGUGUACAAACGUUUGUUGAUAAACCGGCUGACAGAGCUAAUAACGUGUUACAAGAUCCAACAUUUUACCCAUGUUCUAAACAUUUAGUUUUGGGCCUUUCGUUUUUCUAUUACUGUUAUUUUUCACAUAAUCUGAAAAAAACGAAAAAAAAGCGAAGGGGCGUUAACGCCCCCACCAAAUGAUUUAGCAUACCCAUCCAUAUAGAUCUGUUUGCUUAAUUUGUCUGUCAUAAUUUAUCUGUCUAUAUGUCUAGCUAUCAUAUCUAUCUAUCUAUCUAUCUAUCUAUCUAUCUAUCUGCUUGUCCUUUUUUUACUCGUUCUAUGUUGGGCCACUGUCUUGAAGGGAAUAGUCUGCUGUAUAGAUCCCACUAUGCUCCUAUUUGUCAAACCUCUAAGAUAUAAGCCAUAAAGGGACAUACAGUGUAUAUACACAUGUAUUUGUAAAUGUAAGGUCUUUGAGUAAUUGUCAUUUAACUUAAUGAAGUGCAGUAAAUGUUAAUACACGUUUGGAGUCUUUUACUUGUUUCAGUCAUUAGACUGCUGCCUUGCCGGGGCAUCGCCUUUAAGAAUUUUGGUCGAACGAGCCGAUUCCCAGUACUGACUUUUUUUAAAAACCUGGUACUUAUUCUAUCAGUCUCUUACUACAAAAUGUUUGUUUUUUUUAUGAAGAGAUUUAGAAAUGAUAACUUUUAUUUUCUAUAAUUAAAACUUUUAUUCUAUAAUUUCAUCAUACCCCUAAUGCAGUUGUGUAUUUAACUAUCUGCACUUGUUUAGGUUUGGUGUUCGAAACUUCAGUACUGUACCACGUUGUUAUUUGUUUAAGCGCACUCCUAAUUGAAAAGAACUAUGAUGGAAGGCGUUCCGGCCGUGACCAUUCCACCUUGUUUUGUAUAUCCAUAACCACAUUCAAUGUGUCCUAAGAAGGUAGGGGGUGAUUUGAGGUAGAUAUGGAUGCUAUACGAGGUUCCUUGUUUGGUUCGCUUCAGACUGUUCGGGCAAGCGUUGAAGAAAAGUUGCUGACGAGCCUAUAAUCGCGUCUAGGCAUUCUUUUUGCGAAAUAAACCAUUCCACUUACAUCACUAUUCAUGCCUUUGUGAAAGGCAUGAAUAUCGUGAUGUCCCAUUUUCCUUUGGUCUCUGUAUCUAUUAGGAUUAUUAAAUCUUACGUUAAACAUCAUGUACAUCCUAAUUCUUGAAAUGACACGGACGUGAUCCCCCUGGGAUCGUUAAACUAAGUACUUGUAAAAUAAAAAUUAAAAAGAACAACAUAUUGAUGUGAGAUCUGUGGCCAUGUGCCUAAGCUAGAGACCAAUAUUAUUAUAAUUGCUGGCUUCUUCCCUCAAGAGGAAGCUGACACAUCUAACGGCCAGUCAGAAUAGAUUACUAAUGCUUCAUCAAAUAAGUCUCAGAUGGAGUGGACAGCAACCUUCAUCCAUCCGACGAGGAUAACCUUUACGAGGUUGUUCAUUAUGCUAGAAAUAACAGCAAAAUCAUACCCCUUCCAUUUAAGUAAAGAAAGGAUAAUGUUGCAAUGGAUUAAAAAAAAAGAAACGGAGACGAGCUGGUCACGCUUGGAAACGUCUCUGAUUACAGGUCUGCCUCAAGCGAAGACAAUCAACAAUCACUGCCUCUUGUCACAAUGUUUAUUUAUAUAGUUUACUACAACUUGUGAUGACAUUUUAUGUAUUGAUGACUAAAUGUCAUACGCACACAUCAGAGUAUAUGUGUGUGUGUGUGUGUAAUGUUUAGGUAUUAUUUACACGGCCGGUUAACUAAUAUUAUGUAUAAACUGAAUGUGUGUAUAUGGGCUAUAUACAAACAUAUACAUGUUUUGUGCGUAUGUAUGUAUAGCGUGUCGUAUGACUGAUAUAUAUAGGUUUUAGAUAGAUAGAUAGAUAGAGAGAGAGAGCUUGUCACUCUAUAUGCUGUGAUGUAUACGUUUUAAAUUACCAUGUCUCUCUUAUACAUCGGUGUUUACGUUGUCUCUGUAUACACACUGAUGUGAAUAGUUACAUAUACCAUUUCUCUCAGCAUCCACCGGUGUACACUGAUUCCUUUAUACCGUGUUUCUGUGUGUUGAUGAGUUCUGUUUUUCUGUGCCCAGAUGCGAACUGGCUUAAAACCACACAUGCAUAUAUAUUUAGCUUGUAUCUAUAAACAAUAUAUUGUAUGAAUUAUAUGUCUCGAUUUUGUUUCAUCAUAUACACACCGGUGUCGACGGUUUCAAUGUUUCAUAUUUUAAAGCUUAUAUGUUUGGGUUAUAUAUACUUAAGACACUGUUUUAUGUAUGUAUGUAUGUACGUAUGUAUGUAUGUAUGUAUGUAUGAUAUAUAUAUAUAUAUAUAUAUAUAUAUAUAUAUAUAUAUAUAUAAUACAGCAAUAUCUGUACCUCGUGUAUGUUAUACUACAGUAUUUAUAGCUUGUCACUUUGUAUAUGCAUCAUUAGAGGUGCAACCCCCUAAAGAUUUCUUUUACAACAGAUCUAAUUAUAUCCUCAGUAUUUCGGAUGCAUUUGAAAUUAGAAGAUAUGAACAACAAAUGUUAGAGUACAUGCGCGUGUGUUUGAGUGUAAUGGGUCCUUUUGCUAUAUUCAUUUAUAUUUUAAGUAGACGAAAUCUGUAACAUAUUUUCACUAGUUUCUCACAUGUGUUUUAGAAUCUUCUAUCCCAUCUCUCUAUUGUUCGUGUUUAGUUUAUUUUGAGUUUCUUACCCACCAUAUGUGUAUGUGUCAACAAACAUACACACAUGCAUACUGUACACAUACACCCCCCAGAAAUGUACGUUUUGGCAGUGUUUCUCAUAGACUGCUGCUGUGAGGAUUGAAAAAAAAGGGCGGAAUAAAUGCCAUUCAAAAUGAAAUUAAGUUGGCUUUGAACUUUUCAAACUUGCCAGACACUUAUGGCGAAAAAUGAGUUAUCUGAAUGCAAAUUUUUGUUUUGUCUUAAUGCAGAGGCAAAAAGAUUUCGCUUACACACACACACAUACAUAUACGUACGUGCGUGUGUGUAUGUUGGUUUAUUUACGUCCACGGUACUUAGCGGUUAUCAAAAAUAAACAGAUAGAAUAAGCACUAGAGUCUAUUUGUUUGACUAACGCCUUCAAGGUAGUGCCCCAGCAUGGCCACAAGCGAAUGACUGAAACUUGUAAAAUGUAAUGUGUGAAUGUGUAUAUAUAGAUACAGAGAGAGAGAGAGAGAGAUUAUAUAUUUAUAUAUGUGUGUGUAUGUAUAUAUAUAUAUAUAUAUAUAUAUAUAUAUAUAAUGACAUGUAUGUAUAUGAUAAUAUAUACACACACACACACACAUAUAUAUAUAUGCACACACAUAAAUAUGUAUGUAUAUACAUGAAUGCAUAUAUAUAUUGACAUGAAACCUAAAAAAAUCCCAUAAACCAGCCCAGCCUUAUCUAACUUGAAUAUAGAUAUAGAUAGAUAGAUACAUUCAUAUACAUAUUAAUAUCUAUUUAUUUUGAUAUACAUAUACCAACAUAUAUACAAUUAUGUACACACGCGCGUUUAUGAUUAUGAACAUAUACACAUAUAUGCAGAAAUAAGUCUCUCUACUCGCUGCAUAGGAAUGGCAACCAAAUCUCUCAAAUCACAGAACUAUCAUUGCAAGCAAAAUGCUUCAAUCAGAGCUACAUUACACAGUGUGGUCAUAGGUGAACUGUAGUACAGGGACAUAAAGAAGCCAACAUGCACACAUACAUUAUCACUUGAAGAUCACACCCCUUCAAACGUCCCUUCAAAGUUGUAACUGUUAGCACCCAGAAACUUGCCCACUUACCAGGUAUGCAUAAUCAACUCAGUGGUUUAUGAAGCCAAAGUCACAGCAGUGCUCCAAAAGGAUUAGCCAAAAGAAAAAUUACAUUGGUAUAUGUAAAGGUAAUUUUAAAAGAAGAUAUGCAAGCUACCAGUCUUCUUUCUGACAUGUGAAUGAGUAGAAAGUCACAUAGUUAGCUAGCCAUAUCUGGGAUUUGAAGGCCAACUGUACCCCACAGACCAUCAAGUGGAGUAUUGUGGUGUGAUCCAUACCAGACAUAAACGGAUCAGAGAUGCAGGCUUUGUUUAGCUAUAAAAUCUCAUAUUCCACUGAGACCUAAGAACUCCAUGGACCUACUAAAUUCCAGACCUGAAAUUUUUAUGAAAUGUAAACAUAUGGAUAAAUUUCUUUUGUUGAACUGGAGUACACCACCCUCUCCAAAUUAGGCAUGCAGUAUCAUAGACAUUGACCCUUUCCCCCUUUGAAUUACUUUACGCCUAUUACAUUGAUUCUUAUUCAAACAAGCAGAAAGGGCAUAACUCUUAAUUGUCUCUUUGAAUUCUAUUUUUCUUCCUUUUUUUUUCAUUCUUUUUGUUUUUACCUUCCUCUCAUCUUGUUUUGUGUUUUCUCAAAGACCAGCAUCCUUAUUUUUUCAAAAACCACAACCAAUAUUGUGUGUUUGAGUCUGAAAGAUUACUAAGAAAUACAAAGUAUGCUAUACAAGCUCAUCAGUUUGUGUUUCCACUGCAUGAAACUAACAGUAUCUUGGGUUUGAAUAUUGUGUAUAUUAAAUGAUAUUUAUAUCUCACUGGAUGGAGUACUUCUUUUUUGUGGAUAUCAUCAAUAACAGUAAAUUAUAUGUACAUGUGUGUGAGGUGUUUAUGUGUAACUCCCCCCUCCCCGCCACACAAUAUAUAUUUGCAUAUAUGUAUCUACAUGUAUUUAUGUAUGUGUAUGUAUGGUUACAUGUACACAUAUGUAUGUAUACAUUUGUGUAUGUAUUCAUGCAUGUAUGAGUGUAUAAUGUAUACAUACACUCUUUUACUCUUUUACUUGUUUCAGUCAUUUGACUGCGGCCAUGCUGGAGCACCGCCUUUAGUCAAGCAAAUCGACCCCGGGACUUAUUCUUUGUAAGCCCAGUACUUAUUCUAUCGGUCUCUUUUACCGAACCGCUAAGUGAUGGGGACGUAAACACACCAGCAUCGGUUGUCAAACACAGGGGGACAAACACAGACACACAAACAUAUACACACACACAUACAUAUAUACGACAGGCUUCUUUCAGUUUCCGUCUACCAAAUCCACUCACAAGGCUUUGGUCGGCCCGAGGCCAUAGCAGAAGACACUUGCCCAAGAUGACACGCAGUGGGACUGAACCCGGAACCAUGUGGUUGGUUAGCAAGCUACUUACCACACAGCCACUCCUGCACCUAUGUAUAUAAUAUAUAUUUAUGUACAUAUCUCUGUAUCCUUACUUUCUUGAGCUCUCAACUUUUGAUUGAUUCACAAGGUGUUGCUGUGACAUACUGCAUAUGUUAGGCAUCAAAACCUAGCUCCUCUUAGAUUUUGAGCACAGCCAGUUUCUUGAAGAGAAAGAGAUAAUGUUUGAAGAAUUGACCCCAGCACUGGAUUAGUUCUUAAUGAUGAAUCCCACCGGAAUGAAAGGCAGAUUUGAUCUCAGCAGGGAUUGAACUUAGAGCACAAAGUGUCAGAAUGAAAAGCAAUUUAAUUGAUGCACUGACUAAUUUGCCAUUGUGGUACCUCACUGUGUGUGUGUAUACAAAUUGUCUAUAGAAUAUGUUUGUGUAUGUCUAUAUUUGUGUGUGUGUGUGUGUGUGUGUGUAUCUGCAGAUAUACAUUUGUACAUCUCUCUUUCUCUAUCCAUAUAUAUGUGUUUGUGUAUAUGUAUAUAUCUGUGCAUAAAUCUAUCUAUUUGUGCACAUGCAUGCAUGUGUGUAAUUGCACAUCUGUUUAUUUGUUUAUAUGAAUUGUGUGUGUGUUUGUGUGUGCAUAUGCUGGUGUAAUUAAAAUAUUAGUUUUCUCUGUCUUUGUAUUGCUUUUAAGUCUAUUCUGUGUGUGUGUUUGUGUGUGUGUGUGUGUGUGUAAAUAUGUAAGUAUGUUUGAUGUAUAAGUAUGUAUGCAUAACAUUAUAUAUGUGUGUGUGUACCUCAAUACCAGCCCAGUUACUUAAUCAAUAUUUCUCUCCCUAUGUGGGGCGCCUACUAAAGCGACUACUAUCCCCCCACUUCACUGCAUUACACUUCCUGAACAUCCCUAAAUAGUUGCUUAUUUAUGUUUAUUAAGACAGCAAUUAAAAACAUUUGCUUUCCUCCCAUCCCAUGCCCUUUCAUUUUCUAUCAACAGCAGACUACUUUGAGCAGGGAGUACUUCUUAGAAGCGAUUCCAAGACAGCAUUUCCAUUAAAUUGUUUGUGCUUGUAUGGCAGGCUGUAUAGACUACAUUGAUCAGUAAGAAAUAGCAGCCAAAUUUCUUUCAAAUUACACCUCCCAGUCCAAAAUUUAGAAAAGAUUUGAGCAAUGUAGUCCUUGACAUUCAACAUCAUAUAUGGUAGAAUGGUUAUGGGUGGCAUAAACAUCACUAUUAAUGACAGCAAUAUUUUUAUUAUUUUUUUUAAAAAUCAUCAUGCAUCAAAUGUUUCUACCAAGUCAUCUUUAUACAUAUUUAUUUAUAGUGAAUUAAAUAAUAGAUUAUUUGUUAAUCUGCAUUGUCUGUACUCAGAAAGAUAUCCUUUGGGUGGGGGUUUUUUUCCCCCUAUUUUAUAUAAAAAUACAUACAUGCAUUCACACAUUCAUAUAUAAAUAAUGAUAAUAAUAAUAAUCCUUUCUGCUGUAGGCUCAAGGCCUGAAAUUUAAGGGAGGAGAAUAGUUGACUACAUCGACCCCAGUGUUUCACUAGUACUUAAUUUAUCGACCCCGAAAGGAUGAAAGGCAAAGUCAACCUCGGCAGAAUUUGAACUCAGAACAUGAAGACAGAUGAAAUGCUAAACAUUUUGCCCGGCAUACUAACAAUUCUGCCAGUAUGUGGCCUUAAUAGUAAUAAUAAUAGUUUCAAAUUUUGCCACAAGGACAGCCAUUUUGUGGGAGGGGAUGUGUCGAUUACAUCAGCACCAGUUUUCAACUCUGAAAGGAUGACUUAAUAAUAAUAAUAAUCCUUUCUACAAUAGGCACAAGGCCUGAAAUUUGGGGAAGGGGUAUAGUCAAUUACAUGAACCCCUAGUACUCAACUGGUACUUAUUCUGUCAACCCUGGCAGCAUUUAAACUUACAGACGAAAUCCCACUAAGCAUUCUACUCCUGGGAGCCACUAAUUUCGCUAGCUCGCCACCCUAAUAAUAAUAAGUUUCAAAUUUUGGCACAAGGCCAGCAAUUUCAGGGGUGGGGGAAAAUCGAUUAGACCAACCCCAGUGAUCAAUUGAUACAUAUUUUAUCGAUGUCAAAAUGAUGAAAGGCAAAGUUGACCUCAGUAGAAUUUGAACUCAGAAUGUAAAGAUGAAUGAAAUGCCUGCUAAACAUUUACUCAGUGUGCUAAUAAUUCUGUCUGCUCACCACCCAAUUAAUAAUACUAAUAAUAAUAAUUAUAUAUAUAUAUAUAUAUAUAUAUAUAUAUAUAUAUAUAUAUAUAUAUAUAUAUAUAUAUAUAUCGCGUUCUUGUCCCAUUUUGUAUAUAUAUAUAUAUAUAUAAGAAGAUUAAUAAUUAUACAUAUGUAUUUUUUUUUAUUACAAUAGCUGAUUCUUCACAUCUAGUUAUUUAAAUUUCCUGUUUUGAUUUGUUGGAUAUAUAUAUAUAUAUGUAUAUAUAUAUACACACACACAGAGGGAGAGAGAGAUAUAGAUAUUUAUGUAUGCAUAUAUUAUCCCAUCUUUUUGUGUGUGUAUGUGUAUGGCUUGUGUUCUUUGCUAAUUAAGAUGAUAGAAAGUGGUUUGCGGGAAAUUUUACUCCUAUUUCUAGCAGGUCAAGUGUUUGCAUAGAGGACUUCCCCUUUCCUUAUUGGCUUGAAGUAAACUUGGUUGUUGUUGCUUAGCUGCAAAUCAGCCACAAUUGAACAGACCUAGAAAGAAGGACGGUCCUGUUGUGACUAUCCUAUUGUAUAUCUGAGACAGGAAGUACACUAUAGCCCUUGUUUAAGAUGGUAUGGUAAUUUUAGGGAAAUGUGGCUACUAUUUCCAGCAGAUUGAGUGGCCAUAUAGAUGCUUUUUGUUGAAUAAUGGAACCAUAUUUUAAUGUCACUACACAGAUUAUGAUACAUAUUGUUAUGUAGUGAUACAGCUUGCAGACUAGCUAAUACCCUUGUCUACCAGAAAAUAAUUCACUCUCUCAUCGUAUUUCAUUCCUUCAGUAAGGUGAUUGGUGUCAAUGGCAUUGAGAUUUACUUAACCUUUUAGCAUUUAAUCCAGCUAUAUCCAGCCCAGAUAUUCUAUAUGUUCUAUGUUAAAACUGACCAGAUCCAACCUCUUACACCAACCCUACAAUGUCAUUCUGAAAAUAUACACACACACACACACCAUUGAAAUCUUGAAGCUACAAGAUAAUGCAUGAUUAAUUCAAAACAAUGUAAAUAAAUAAGCAUUACAUUUGACAAAGAAAUCGGAAUGCUAAUGGGUUGAGGAGUGGCUGGGAGGGUUGCCAAGGUUGAGAGGAAAGGCUGAUAGUGAUUUGGUUACAUAUGUACAUAUAUUUACUUAUGCAUCAUUAUACUGAGGAUUGUACAAAAACUUUGAUCUCAUUUUUUUUCUUUGUUUUGUUUUUAGACAUUAAAUUAGUCCUUGAGGUAAAUUUUGUCUAGAUUAGAUAAUCUGUCAAUUGAAGUUUUUCAGCUCUCUAUAUUCCAACAAUAUGACCUUAAUAUAAUGCCUUAUAUUGACUAAAACCUCCAAGACAGUGGUUCUCAACCAUUUUUCCUAUGGUUCCCUUUGAUUCCUAUUUUCCUCUACUGGACCUCCAUAGCCAUUUAUUGUAUAUUAACAAAUAUCUUACUGUAUUUUUAUAUUUAAGUAUUAUUAGGAAAUGUAUAACAAAAAUAUAUUUGUGGAAGUAUUAGCACUUUAUUGCUCAUAAAUUUUAACAACAAAAUCUUACACGGGCUGUAAAGGGCCACAUGGACUCUGGCUGAGAACUACUGCUCUAAGAGAAUAUUUGUAAUAGUGGUUGUUUAACCCCUUGCCUGUUUGGAUCCAGCAGAUCUGUGUUUAAAAUCAUUCCAGUUGUGUAUAUUCUUUGUUUUAUUUUUCUUAGACAUUAAGUGUCUGGUAUGGUUAGAUGUGAGAGUGUUUUAGUUGCUAUUUCUAGCAGGUUGAGUGACUAUGUAAAAGGCUCCUUUCAUUGGCAAUGUUGUUGAUGUUAUUGUUAUAGCUGUUGUUGCUUGGCUCUAGGUUAACCCUAAAUGAAGUAGACCUAUAACUGAAGGUAUCACAUUCGCAAUCAUAUUCUAUCUCACCUAGGCACAGAAGGUACAGUGUACAUAGAACCAUGUCAUCCAGCAUGUUUUGCUUUCCUAAGACUGUAGGAUGCAAUUUGGGAAUGAUUUGGCUGCUAUUUCCAGCAGGCUGAUCAACCAUGUAAACUUCUCUUAUUGGGAUUAUUAAUAUUGUAGUUGAUGUGACUGUUAUUGUUGUUUAACCCCAGGUCAGCCCUGAUCCCUCAGGCUUAUGAUCAAAAGCGACCAUUCUAACAGCAGCCAUUGUCAUUUUUUUUUUUUACGAUAGUGUAUCUUGGACUACAAUUUCAAAAGUCUUUUUUCCCUUUUCCAUUUAUUAAAUGAAAGUGUUAUGUGAUUUGAAAGAGAUUUGAAGAGAACAACUGAUAGAUGACCUUGUUGGCUCAAAGUUAAUUAAAUUUUUUCUUUUUUGUUUAGUCCCAUCUCACCUCCAAGCAAAUGUCCCUAGAUCAGUCCUUUUCAAGUAAAUCUAUGAUUAAAGUCAUUCCAACCACGGCAGUUUCAACUAAAUUGCUGAAUGACUGCAUAAAGGCCUUGUUUUGUCCAGGUGUGCUUUAAUUAAAUGCAUCUAUUCAGAUGUAUUCUAUUCUUGGCCAUCCCAACUUUUCUGACAUAGUUCGAGAGAACAAUGUUCAGUGUCCUUCCAUUUCUUUUUUUUUUUUUUGUUUAUCUGUUUACCUUUUAUUUCAGUCAUCAGACUAUGGCCAUACUGGAGCACUACCUUGAAUUUUUAAUCAAAGGAAUUGACCCCAGUACUUAACAUUUUAAGCCUGGUACUUAUUCUGUCAGUCGCUUUGCUGAGCCACUAAGUUACAGGUAAAUAAACACAACACUAGUUGUCAAGCAGUGGUAGGGGACAAACACAGACAUAAUGACACACACACAUACACACACACAUAUACGGUGGUCUUCUUUCAGUUUCUGUCUAUCAAAUCCACUCACAGCGCCCGAGGCAAGAUUUGUGCCACACAGCUAUGUCUGCGCCUACAAAAAUAUUUAAUAAGGCUCCAUAUAACUCCUUGUAGAGAUUGAAACCUCCAUCUUGAGAUCAUAUUACUACUUAUCAACACCUUUACUUACAAGGCCAUCAAAGCUAUAUAUAAUAAAAACAAAAUACAGACAUGUUAUUUAAAGGAGAUUUAGUUCUUUCAUUCUCUAGCAACUUUUUUCUUUCUUUCUUUUUUUUUGUUAUAUCAAGUGUUUUAUUUUCGUUUUGAUGUAACAGGUUGUUGAGGAAAGAGGAGAAAGCUUAGCACAGAAAUCUUCAAAAGUCAGCAUUUUGUAAGAAGUUUAACAUCCUAUCUAAAGUUAAGAAAACGUGAAUUUCUAUCAAACAAAUUUUUUUAUAAAACAGUUGUUUGUUGUCUAGCCCCAGUUCAAUUCUAAUCAUGUAGGCAUCUGAUCAAAUGGUUGUAUCAUCAUCAUCAUCAUUUAACAUCCUUUUUCAAUGCUGGUAUGGGUUGGAAGGAUUGACGGGAACAGAUAAGGCUAGGGGCCCACACCAGGCUCCAUAGUCUGUAUAGUUAUGACUACACUGAUCACAUUUUGAUACAUCCUUUUGUUUUUAGGGUGAUAGGGUAUGACUGAGUGAAAUUUGGCUGCUAUUUCUAGCAAUUCAAAUAUCUUUUAUCUUUUACUUGUUUCAGUCAUUAGACUGCGGCCAUGCUGUCUUGAAUGAAUUGACGCCAGUAUUUAUGUUUUUGUAAAGCCUGCUGCUUAUUCUGUAAGCCUCUUUUGCUGAACUGCUAAAUUACAGGGAUGUAAAUGUCCCAAUACUAAUUGUCAUGUGGUGACAGGGAACAAACACACACACACAUACACAUGCACACGCAAUGGUCUUCUUUCAUAUUUUCUCCCUAUCAAAUCUACUGAAGUUUUUAGUCAGGCUGAGGCUAUAGUAGAGACAUUUGCCCAAGGUGCCAUGCAAUGGGACUGAACCUGGUACCAUGUGGUCGGGAAGCAAACUUCUUGCCACACAGCCAUAAUGUAGUUUUUACUUGAAACUGAUCUUAGCUCAUAGUUCAUUUCUGUACAAUAUUUCUUCCAUUUUUUUCUCUCUCUAUUUGAUGUGUGUGUGUAUGUGUGUGUAUACAUAUAUGUACACACACAUAAACACACACAUAUUCUCUCUUGUCUUUUUUUCUGUCAUUGCAUCAUCAUUGCAAACACUUUGGUAGCUUCACAUUUGUUUUUUCCCAAUAUUUGCAGUGUAAUUCUUCAUAUGACAUUUUCUUGAAUCAAUACCCUUCAGACAAUCAUGAGUAAGAAGACUAUAAGCUUAAUAGAUAAUUUAAUCUUUCUUCAAACCAGUUCCAGACCCAAUAAGUGAUCAAAGUCAUUUUUUUGUCACACCAUCAAACAAACAAAAGUUCAUAGCUUGUGGCUCCCCAGUCAAACCUAAAAGUUCCUUUCAUGAAAAAUAACGUAUGUAUCAAAAUAUAUCUCAGAAACCCAAUGAUUGUUCCACAUAAAAUCCACCCAGUCUACUCUGUAAAUUGGUUGGUGUUAGGAAGGGUCCCCAGCCAUGGAAACCAUGCCAAAGCAGACACUGGAGUUUGGUCCAAUCCUCUGGCUCACCAGCUACUGUCAAACUUCCCAACCCAUACCAACAUGGAUGGUGGAUGUUAAAUGAUGAUGAUGAUGAUGAUGGUGAUGAUGAAUACUGACAAAAGAAAUUUGAACUGGUGAAAAUACAUUUUCAUUGAAUAGAAGGAGAAGGCUCCGCAAAAUGGGGGAUUUGUUGCUAAGACUAAAAUGAAAAAUGGUAGAGAUGUUGUUAUUGGCAACUGAUAGGUGUUGUGUUAAGACACAUCAUUAAUUAAAUAUGUGUGCAGCUAUGUCAGCAAAGGAUCUGACACUGCUGUGUAUGCUCUUCUGCAAGAAAACCUGAUUAUGUGACCCAGUUCCACUUGAGAAAAAUACACCAGCAACAUUGAAGCAUCCUGGUAAAUUUUUAAAGCUUGUGUAUUGUAUGUGUAUGUAUGUUUGUGUGUCUCCUUGUCUUAACAUCAUGUGACAGUUGUAAAAAUGUGUUCCUGUCACACAAGCAGUGUUAUUCAUUUCCAAUAUUUUGCGAAAGUAUGUUUGACUAUGGAGAAAUAUUAAUUUACUAGGAAAUAGGUUAGUGUUGAUGACAGGAAGGGCAUCUGGCUUUAGAUGAUUUAGGGCAGAUUAUAAUCUGCCUCAAUAUAUUCUUUCUGGCCAAUGUAAGCAUGGAAAGGUGGACAUUAAGACUAUGUUGUUAAUAUGAUGAUGAUGAUGACAAUCUCUAGAACUACAUUAGCCUACUAUGAUUGAUUGAUUCUAGUUUCAGCUCACGAGCUGUGGCCAUGCUGGGGCACCGCCAUUUCACUUUGUUCACUUUUUUUUCAAAAGAUAGUAUACAUGAGUUGAUGGAGAUAGUAGAUUGAUCAACAAUGUCAAAGUUACUUGGUUGACUUAUCAUAUGUAAUCAUAUUCAGGUGUAGGUUUACUCUUUUUUUUUGUUGUUAACAUUGGUAAAGGAACUGUUUUCAGUGUGUGGUAGAAUGAAAUCACUGAUUAGCCAUUUUAGCCCUUUCAGUACCAACUCCUCUGAGACCCCUCUGAUUCUCUACUGCAGCGGUCCCCAACCUAUUUUUUAUUUUGUUUGCACCAACAAACUGGUUUCAUGCGAGACAAUUUUCUACGGACCAGAAAAUCAAACUCAUAACAAAACACAAAAUGCAUACAAGUGCUUAUAUGUAGUGGAAACCCAUAUGAGAGAUUCUCUCAUGGUAACUAUCACAGUAUUCAGUUUUUGACACAACAUCCACUUCUAAGUGGGGAUAAAUAUUACCUUUUGAUAUUAAUACUGCUUCUGUUGCUAAUAUCAUCAUCAUCAUUCUUUAGUAUCUGUUUUCCAUACUGGCAUGGAUUGGGCAGUUUAACCAGAGCUGGCUAGCAGAAGAACUGCACCAGAUUCCAGUCUGAUUUGGCUUGGCUUCUAUGGCUGGAUGCCCUUCCUAAUGCCAUCUACUUUACAGUGUGUGCUGGAUGUUUCUUAAGCGGCACCAGCAUGGGCACUGUUAUGUGGCAUUGACUUGGCUGUUAUUACAUGGCAUUGGUGCUGGUGCUUUUUACAGGCCAACUUCUUCAGCAGGGGGAGCAUGGCAUUAACACUUCUAUUGUGGAGGACAGGUCUUCUUGGGUAUUAUAUAAUAAUUAUCAUUAAAUUUAAUCAUUACAUAUAUAAUGCAAAAAACAAAGUGCUGACUGCAAUAGUCAGUAAAAUAGAAAUAAGAUUUUAAAAUUUAUUCAUUCUGCGCAGUUUGGUACCAAAUGACCCACUGCUCUGUAUUGGUCUGUGACCUGGGUGUUGGGGACCCUGAAGAACUUUUUAUGUUCUAAAACAUCAGUUAAAAAAUGAUUGUCAGGUAUUUUAUGAAAUUCUUCAAGUUUUGAUUAUUUUCGAAAGUAUUCAAAAUGAUAGCCAAGGCAUUUCAUAGGAAAUGUGGUGAGGAAAAGGUUAAAACUGAUAUUAAUUUACUGGAAUAUGGAAAUUACGUUUCUCUAAUAUAUCUCUUUGCCAUUGACAACAUGAGGAAAAACAAAAAGGAACUGAUUUACUUGAAUUCAAAGAAGAAAUAAAUUAGCAGAAAUUCUAUCCAUUUUAUAUGGAAAAUAAAUUUGCCUCAGCAAUAUCAAUAAAUUAAAAACAGAAGUAUAGAAAAUGAUUUAGAGCAAGCUUUUAGGAAGUAGGUGAUUUGAUAUAUUUUAUUGAUGCCUGGCAUAACUGGAUUGUUGACUUGUUUGAUUGAUUGGCUAAUAUGCUGAUACAUCCUGGUAUUUAAUGAUUAGGCAUUAAUUGGUGCUGAAAUAUUUCUGAUGCGUAUCAAUUUAUUGUAAUUAUUGAUGGCUUAUAAAGAACAGCAGGGUUACUAUGGCAAAUCUUUACUGUGUAAUGUGAGUGACCUAAACCUGAACUAAAUCUUAACAAUGAAGCUUAAUCGACGAGCCAUACUUCAUCAAAUUAAAGGCAGAAUACUUUUCAUUUUUCUUUCUUCUUUCUAUUUUUAUUUUUAUUUUUUUCCCCACAAGAAACAUAUUGUGUGUGAUGUAGAUCUUCCUUUUAACUUUUACCUUGGACAUGACUGGAAUAAAAUGCUGGUUCUCUCUAAAUCUCUACUCUUCACAGCAGAGCAGACUACAGAUUGUGAGUGGAAAAUUUCUGGAUUAAUUACCAAUCUAUUUGUACCGUAUAGUUUAUGUCCUUUGAAAAUCCUUUUUGGAAGUGUUAUUUAGUCCCAGAUCAAUCCUGAUUGAUCAGAUGUAUGAUCAAAGCUAUUUCAUCCAUCAUUUUAAGUACUUAUUGGAUAAUGGACUGGAUUAUCAGAUAUGUUCAGUCCUUAUUUAAGAUAGUGAGGAGUGAUUUGAAGGUCAUUUGACUAUUGUUUCUAUCUGGCUAAGUUAUCUUGGUUGAACACACCUAUAUUCAAAGUCAUUUUUAUUGUGACAGCCUCAUCAUUAUAUGUUGGAGUACAUUAUUUAAUAUGUCUUUUAUUUCUUGAAGGGUGUAAUUUGACUUCUAUUUCUAUGAAGUCAACCAGUCAUAUAGAGGCUUUCCCAUUGUCUCAUUUUCAUUCACAGAAAAGCCACUUCAACAAAUCUCAUCUGACCCAUGCAAACAGAAAAGUAAGUGUUUAAAUGAUGAUGAUUUCAGUAGGAGUUGGCAACAGAUGGAUCACUGUCUGUGAGCCUCAAAUAUUUUCCAAGAAUUUUUCAAAUCUUAUGUAUUUGUUCCCCUGGUCUAUGGAAAAAUUGUCUUGUAUGAAACUGGUCCAUGGUGUAAAGAGCUUUGGGACCAUUGUCCUAUAGGUUAAAAUAUAAUAUUUAUCUUAACUAACUUGAAAUCAUAGGAUUACAUCAUCCAUCAGUAAAAAAACGUAAGUUCUAGUAAAACAGUGUUUUCUACAUGAAACUAUGUUUGGAAUGGAGUGUAAAAAUGCUCUACCAAACUUGCCCAAGCUACAGUUUUUAUAGUCAAGUUCUCCCUGGGAGUUUCAGAUCUUGUGCCAAUUCAAACUGAAGCCAUUUUAUCACUUCAGCUUUAUUUGCAGCAUUGAACUUCUUUUUAGGGUAACCACCACCACUACAACAACAGGACAUUAGUUAUUUAAGAAGUGAUGCAACCAUCUUGUUCAGCAGUAAAUCUUCUUUAACAGGUCAACACAAACUGAAACCAGUUACCAAGAGAUGUUGUUUUGCCAAAUACAACCAAUCAAUUUUAAAUAUACUUGAUAAAUAUUAGAACAAGUUAUUUUUGAAACCCAUUUCUACUAAACUUCAAGCUAACAAAAGGAGUCUUUCUGUGGUUACAUAGCCUGCUAGAAAUAGCAAACAAGUUACCUUCAAAUUACACCUUACUGUCUUGAAAAAAAUUGUAAUAACAUACUAAAUAAUGUUGUCUUGGAUAUGCUAUGUCUGGAAAAUAAUUAGGAAAAUAUCAAGAUUUUACUCAUAGGUUUGGUUUAACCCAAGUGUCUGCCACCAAACUGGUCUGUGAGAUGUGGGAAAUUGCAGCCUUAAUAUAUCUCUUGGUUUAGCAACACUGCCUAGCCCCUGGGUGCCUUUACUAACGGGAGUCUGUUCCAUUGGUAGCAUUCAGACCAAAGCUCUGAUCUAAAGCCAACUACCUCCUUGCCUCUACCAGUUUUGAAAAAAACUGAGAAAAUUCAUGGGUAUGAGAUUGGUUUCUCCUCUGCAACUUUAUGUAAGCCCUCACCUCCAACGCAUAUCAUCUUUAAGAAUUCAGCUAUGAAUACCUUAGGCCUAUCACUUUCAAUCUUUUGAAUGUUUGAAUUCAGUUUCAUCAGUAAAACUCCUAUGGGUUUAUAAAAGUUUUAGUUGGGGAUCUCUCUAAGAAAUCUAAAUUACAAUAUUUUUUGCUAGUGUUAUUUUUGUUACAGAUGGGAUCAUUUCAUGAAGUUAUUUCCAUUUCGUAAUAGUUACUUAGAUGAAAGUAGUUGGGUGGGUGUAUGAGGUGGAUUGGAUUAAUGUAAUAUUUGCACAGGUAGAGAUUAACAAAAGAUUCAAUUUCUAUAGGACACAAAGUGGCAUGAGGUGUUUAGUGUAUAGUCAAAUAGGAUACAAUGUACAUGAUGGGAUGUUUUCCCAGUUUUGUGAGCUGAAAACAGACAAGUUCAACUUUGAAGAAUGGUAUAAAGUCAGGAAAUAUUAUCCUCAAUAAUAUGUCAAAAAUUAAAUUUGCAAAUAUAUCCUAUGCUAGUGUGAAAUAUAAACAAAAUAUGUGACAGAAAUAACUGCUUCUAAUCUUAGGGAUAAGGCUAGCAGUUUUGAGAGGAGAGGUUAGUUGAUUUUAUUGAACCCCAGUACUUGACUAAUACUUUCUAUCAACAUCAGACAAUUGAACAGUAAAGUUAGCUUCAGUAGGAUUUGAAUUCAGAAUGUAAAGAUUUACAAUUACAAACUGCAAAGUAUUUGCCCAAUGUUCUUAGAUUCUGCCAAUCCAAAUGUUACAUUAGUUUAUUGCUAGGCAUAAAAUGCUGGGCAUAGGUAUGACUGUAUGGUUAAGAAAUUCAUUCUUACACUCACAUGGUUCUGAAUUCAAUCCCACUAAGUAACACCUUGGAUAAGUGUCUUCUGUCAUUGCCCAGGGUUAAACAAUAUCCUUUGAGUGGAAUUUAAUAGAUGGAAACUUCAAAAGCAUGUAGUUUAGUGGUUAGGGUUUUGCACACAUGAUCGCAAGAUCAUGAUUUGGAUUCCCAAACCAGUGGUUGAUUGUGUUCUUGAGCAAAACACUUCAUUUCAUGUUGUUCCAGUCCACCCAACUGUAAAUGGGUAACCCUGCAACUGACUAGUCUUCUGAUCAGGGGAAAUGUUGACCUGCUAGCCUGCCUAGCCAGUGUGUUGUCAUCAUUCAAAAACAACUGUGAGGAAAUGCAUUGUGGCCAGCAGUGCGUAACAACAUCUGAUAAUCUGGUUGAUACAACACACACACAUACACACACACACUCUCUCUAUCUCUCUCAACACACACAGUCACAUAUGCAUUUAUAUCUUUUGGUGACAUCUAUCUGUAGUAUUUGUUUCAGCCAAGUCGGGUAGACAAUCUUCUUUGCCACUUUCUCCAUUGUAAUUACAUGAGCCAGUGAUUAGCUUGUUAUGAACCCAUAACCAAACCAAGUACUACUGAUCACAAAAUCAGAUAUGAAAUAAAUAAAUGCACAUUAGAUGUUUUGUGUAAAGUAUAUUCAUUUACUAGUUUCACACUGUAGUCAUUGGGCAGCACAACUUUCAAGGUCUUUUUUCCAUUACAUCAUCAUUCUUAGUAAUUAUUUUAUUGACAUUAGAUGGAGGAAAGGUAAAAGUAAAAUCCAAGCAGGAAUAUAUAUGUGUAUAUAUAUAUAUAUAUAUAUAUAUAUAUAAAUACAUACAUACAUACACACAUACAUACAUACAUACAUACACACAUAUAUAUAUAUAUAUAUAUAUAUACAUACACACACAUAUCAUCAUCAUUUAAUGUCCAUAUUCCAUGCUAGCAUGGGUUGGACGAUUUGACUGAGGACUGGCAAACCAGAUGGCUGCACCAGGCUCCAAUCUUCAUCUGGCAGAAUUUUUACAGCUUUUUGCCCUUCCUAACGUCAACCACUCCUAGAGUAUGGCCAUUGCACAAAGCUUAACUGUUACUGGUGCUGUGAUCGAAUGUGACUUUUUAGCCCAGCUAAAGAUCUACAUACAUACAUACAUACAUAUAUAUAUAUAUAUAUCAUUUGCCAUGAUAGAUCGCUAGCCACUACACAUUCCUUAUUUUCUCUCCCUGUUUCUUUCUGUGUUCCUUUCUGUGGAAGAGCGUAGGCUCGAAACAUUAAAAACGUUUUCACUUCCCGAGCGUCAAACUAAUACAUCUGUUUGUUGUCUACACCACCUUUCUUCCUCUUUUGUUUUUUUGUGAAUUCUCCCCCCCCCCCCUUAUAUAAAUAUAUAUAUAUAUAUAUAUAUAUAUAUAUAUAUAUAUAUAUAUCAUCUUCAUUUAACAUCUGUUCUCCACAUGAUGGUCUGGACAGUUUGACUGAGGUCUGGAGAGCCAGUGGCUGCACCAGCUGCCAAUCUGAUCUGGCAAUGUUUCUACAGCUGGCUGCCCUUCCUAACGCCAAUCACUCCAAGAGCGUAAUGGGUGCUUUUUAUGUGCCACCAGCACCAGAGCCAGUCAGGCAUGUCUGGCAUCGUUGGGAUAGUGCUUUUUAUGUGCCGCCAGCAUGGGGGCCAGUCAGUGGGUACUGGCAUCAGCAUCAAAAGGAUUCACAGAGCUGAAGAAAAUAACAAUGAACAAUGUAGAUACACUACUUCAAAUUCAUCACCCAUAAACAAAUCAAUAAACGUUUUGGAAGAAUUCACUAUAGAUCCUUCACUGGCCUACACACACACACAUAUACAUACAUAUAUAUACAAAUUCAUAAUCCUGAUAUCGUUUUGAGUUUUAAUGUCUUCAUAGUUUAAUACAGUUUUAUGAAGAUAAAGAAAAGCAGGAAAUCCACCAACAAGAAUUUAAUAUAAUAUUUUAUAAUUCAUAGGAUUAUAGAAAAUAAAUAUCCCCCACUUUUAUUUUGUUUGCUUAUCUAAAUAUUGCCCAACGCUUAAGUAUUAGCUUUGGACUGGCUUUAUUUACUUUCUCAGAAUGAAAAUUACAUAUGUGGAACACAAAACUAUUCAGCUACUAAUUGGUUGUUGGUUUAAUUGAGGCCAUAAUAGAUAUUUACUUAUAUAAAUACUUAGGUAUAGCAUUUAUAUAAGUAAAUACAUUUACAUCAAGAUUUAUAUACAUACACACACAUGGAUGUGUAUGUGUUUAUGUGUGUGUAUGUGUUUGUGUGUGUAUGUGGAUGUGUUUGUGUAUGUGUUGUGUAUGUAUGUGUGUGUGUUGUGUAUGUGUGAGUGUUUAUGCAUGUGUGAGUGUUUAUGUAUGUGUGUUUGUUUUUAUGUAUGUGUGUGUGUUUAUGUAUGUGUGUGUGUUUAUGUGUAUGUAUAUAUGUAUGUUUAUGUAUGUGUAUGUAUCUAUGUUUGUUUAUGUAUGUGCAUGUAUAUAUGUUUGUUUAUGUAUGUGUAUGUAUAUAAUUAACCAUAGCUCAGGAUUGGGAGCUCAUAAAGGAUUAGAAUAAAGUUUGAAUGAAAGCUUUAAGUUUUAUUUCAGAGUACCAGAGACAAUCCUGGCUGAAAUUCUACCUGUUAAACAUCAAGAGUUGCUCUUUUUUUUUUUGGCAAUAAGUUCCUCAAUCCUCUUCCUGACUGCACCACAAGCUUUCUUAAUGAAUUCCUCAUCAAUGUCUUCCUCCCACAUCCCAUGGAUGGAGUUCUUGAGAGCUUGCAGGUUACUGUGGGGCUCCUUACAAGCUUUUCUGACCAGCUCAUUCCAGAUGCUGAAUUCUAAAUGGUUCAAAUUCGGUAACGAAGGGGACCAAGUGUCCCUGCCCCAAAACUUGUUUCCAUACUCAUCCCUGAGAAAGUUUUGAGCCACUGCAGUUGGGUGACAAGGAGCUUCAUCUUGCUGGAAUGGUAACUUGAAGUCUUGUUGGGUUUUCCUUCUCUUGCUUCAGGAUAUUCAGAAAGAAUCUGGGCUGUUACAUCUUUCAAAACCUGAACAUAACAAACACCCUCAGUCUCUCAGCCUUCACAAACAUGAUCAAUAGCAUCUUCUUGCCAUCAGAGGCCAUGCUGCAAAAUCACCACCUUGGCAGGGUUUUUGCACCUGAAAAUGACAUUUUUUGGCUCUGUCAUUAGGAUUUGAAGUCCAAACAUAGCUGUUAUGUCUGUCUAUGUGCAUAUCUUGAGUGAAAUUUUUCUCGUCUGUAUAAAAGAUCAUUUCAGAAUUAUGUUUCACUUUGUUCAAGAUGAUCUUCACCCUCUCCAGUCUUCUAACCUUUUGUCCUGGAGUAACAAGGUGCCUCAGUCUUGUGUUCAAUUUCCUUUUCAAAUAUUCAGUCACUGCUCUUUGAACUAUCAUAGCUGAAGCUCCACUCUCACAUGACAAGCAUCUUAUGGAUUUAGUUGGAUCUUUUCUGACUGAUCUCUUCAGUUCCAGAUUGAAAUGAUGAUCCCUCUUGCAGUUACAACCUCCUGAUCCAGUUUUCCUCUCCACUAUUCCCUCAUUCUCAAACUUAUUUACAAUUCUCUUCGUGAUUUUUGAAUGGACUUUGAAGAUAGAAGCCAGAGAAUGAAUGUUGGUAUUAUUACUGAAGGCCUGGAUGAUCUUAGCCCUCUCAACAUUGCUCAGUUGGUGAGGCUGGCACAAAAGGAUUUCGGCCUGUUCUCUUUCUAGCAGCUAAAUAUCUCAAUGGGUAUUUCACUGAUUCUUACAAAACUGGUAUUAGUAUGGCCACACAUCUCAUCUGGAAAAGAAGUCUUAAGAAUUUGUGAGUUUUAAGAAUUUUGCUGGUAUACGCAGUAUGUGUGUGUGUAUUUAUCUAUUAUAUAAAAUCCAUUCUGUCUGCCUGUGUGUGUGUCUUCUAGGAUCUCAGGCAUCCUCCAUCCAAUUGCGCUCAAAUUUGAUAUGUAGAUACCAACGGUAUCAGGACAUGCAUAAGUCUUGAAAAAAUUACAAAAAUCGAUUCCAGGUGAGAAUGCGAUUGAUAAAGCUGUGGGAACGUGCAUUUGUACGCGUAAUAAAAUUGUUUUUCUUUGGAAUAGAAAAAAGUCUAUCUUUAUUUCUUCUUUUCUUAAGAAUUUAGGUUAAAUCAGUGUUUCUGAAAAGGGAGAAAUUUAGGUUAAAUCAGUGUUUCUCAAAGGAGAGGCCUAUGGGACAGUCGGACAAGUUGUUUUGAGAAAAUUUGGUGUAAAUGUUUGACAACUCUGUACCGUCCAUUGGACAGGGGGCGUUUUGCUCAUAUAUAUAUAUAUAUAAUUUCGUUUUGGGAUUUGGUUUGCAAGAUUCAUUAUGUGAGUUUGUGUAUUGAAGCAUAUUCUGUUGUGUUUGGGGGGAGUCAUUCUCUUUUAGUGUCUUAUAAUUUAACACACUCGCCAGCAAAAUUUCCACUCAUUUACUUAUUAAUUUGUUAAAAAUUUUUGUUGUCUUGCAACAUUUUCAAUAGUUGUUUACUCUGUCAGACUCUCCCCAGUUACAACAGUAUACACAUGUGUGUGUGGUGUGUGCGUAUGUGUUUGUGUGUGUGUUUAUGUGUGUGUAUGUAAAUAAAUAUACACAUACAUAUAGUAUAAGCAUAUGAAGAUAUACAUAAGAAUGUGUAUAUGCAAACACAUUUAGGUGUGUAUAUAUGUGAAUACACGUGACUUCAUGUAUACAUACAUGUUUGUGUGUACAUCUAUACAUUACAUAUUAAUGUGUAUGUAUGCAAAUAUACAAUGUGUGCGUGUUUGUGUAGAGGUGUAGGAGUAGCUGUGUAAUGAAGAAAUCUGUUUUGCAACCGUGAACUUUCAGGUUUUAUCCUAAUAUGCAUCGUCUUGAGCAAGUUUUUUUUUUUUUUACUAUAGGCUUGGUUUGGCUACUGACUUACUAGUAGAAUUUAGUAAAUGGAAAUUGUGCAGAAACACGUCAUAAUACUGGGGAUAUUAUGGUCAACAAAAACCCUUAGAGGCAGUGACCCCCGCAAUAACUCCAGUUUGUUGACUGAAACCACUAAAAGAAUACGAAUUUAUGUAUGCAUGUAUUUACAUGUUUGUGUAUGAAUGCUUGAACAUGUAUGCAUAUGUAUAAAUGUAAGCAUUUGUAUAUAUACAAGUGCAUAUGCAUAUCAUAUGGCAAGCAGAGAUAUUGGAGAUGAAUUUCAACACAGCAUGCGAGGGAUUUCUGUUUCCCCAAUUUGUUUUACAAGGUCUCUUGGUCCUCAAUUUCAUGAUGUUUAUAUAGUUACAUUUGUGUGUGCAUUCAUAUAUUUUAGAAGCUCCAAGGUGAUGAGCAAGCACUUAGCUUUGACUGUACUGUAUCUUAUAGCAGAAACAGCUGUAAGCUAAUGAAGUUGAUUAUGUAAUUCCUGUCCCCUUGUCAUUUAUUUAAUUUCAUAUUAUGAACUGUACUCACCUAACACUUUAUUUUGUAGCAUAUGUAUUUUGAGUUUCAACACCAGGCUAUUACUAUCAAUAUACCUAAGUGAAAUCUUUAUAUAUAUAUAUAUAUAUAUAUAUACACACACACACACACACACACACACACAAUAUGGCAUAUGCAUAUACAUACAUGCCAAGUGGAUGUGAAAUGAAUACAAAGAUUAUAGAUGUACAUGCUUAUAAGCAUACAUAUGUCAUCAUCAACGUCGUUUAACGUAUGCGUUCCAUCCUUGCAUGGGUUGGGCAGUUUGACUGAGAACUGGCAAGCUGGGAGGCUGCACCAGGCUCCAUUCUGAUUUGGCAAGGUUUCUACAACUGGAUGCCCUUCAUAAUACUAACUGCUCCAAGGGUGUAAUGGAUACUUUUAUGUGCUAUUCAGGUGGCACUGGCAUUGGCCAUACUCAAAUGGUGCUUUUUACAUGCCAUCUACAUGGGUGCCAGUCAUGUAGCACUGGCAUUGGCCAUGUUUGAAUUGUGCAUUAUACAUGCUACCAGUACAGAUGCCAAUCAGGCAGCACUGGCAUGAGCUACACUCGAAUGGUGUAUGUAUGGAUGUAUAAAAAUUCACAAAUUACUAUGUGAAAUAUGAAUGCAUUUGUGACUGCAUAUAUAUCCACCUCCAAUACCUACACAUGCAGAGCAGUGAAUUAUCUUAUGUUGCAGUGAUCUCAUGGAUUGUGAAACAUUUGAUGUCUGUGUGUUGUGUAUAGCAAAACAGAUGUAGUAUCUACAACCAGAGACUGAAGUUGCUUGUUUACUUCAAUUAGAACAUAUUGCCCAACUAUAUUUUUUACUUACUUCAUGUAUGAGUUUUAUUUAAUCAAAAUUAUAUGUGUAGAUAUGAGUGUGUGUGCGUGUGUGUGAAUACAUAUAUCCUCGUGACUGUGUGCAUGCAUGUGUAUCUCUCUUUCUAUAUAUUAGUAUGUAUAUGACUGCAUGUGUUUGUGUAUGUAUGUACAAUUGGGUUUAUAGUUUCUUCAUAUGAAAACCCACAAUUUCAGUUGAUUUUUUUUUUUAAUUCUGAGAACUGUCUCUUUUACUUACGUAUAAAGAUAUCCUAUUCCACUACAAGUUGGCUUAUUUCUCUGACAUCAAAUCACAGCAAAGCCACUAUUUAUAUUUGUCACACAAAUUCAUGUAACUGUUUCACACAGUUUAACAGAUUUUUUGUUUAGGGUGAUGAUCUAAUUUCAUAUAUACUUGUUUCUUUCCGGCACAUUGAAAGCUUCUCUCAACUUACUGUUUUGAAAUUUUAGCUGCUGUUCUCAUGAUAUUUGUUAGUUCAACUGUUCGGCUGGUGUCUAGUUUUAUUGUGUUGCUCAUGUUAUUGUUAACUAUUAAACUAUUACACAGAAUGAUUUCAACUUCAAAGUGACAGCUAGGAUUUCAAGUUAUUUAUUGAUUUUAAUUCCUCCAGCUACUGGUUGAGCUUAGGAAAACAACUUGGAAUCAGCAGUACAAAGUAUACGUGAGAGAAUGGAUGAAUGACUGUUUGGGUGAAUGAAUGUGUGUGUGAAUGAGCAAAAUCAUCUCCCAUAUCCUAGUCAUCUACAGAGCCAGAAUUCAAUAUGUUUUUUUUUUUACCUGCAAAGACCAGUUUAAUAUAUUAAUUUUAAAGUUUUCAUACUAGAUGUUAGGGUCAAGGUGAAAUUCCUUCGUUCAAAGCUUUUAUACGAAAGAUAUUUUGUUAAGGUAGAUUCUGAAUAUAUUCUGAAGUUUUAUAAAUAUAAAUUUAGUUGCUUUUCCUAAAUUCUUUUAAAUCUGUGAUUACUCCCAGAAGUAAUUGAAAUGGUUUGAUACUUUAUUUGGCAAUGAAAGGAUUACAGAAUAACCUGGAAUUGAAUAAUCAGGGCUGACCUAAGCAGACAUAGUAGUAAGUAAUGCUAAUAGGGAAGCCAACUCUUCUAAGGCAGGAAAUUAUGGGAAGCUGUCUUAGUAGCUAGUAUACCCAAAUUAUCCUUUUGUUUCAUCUUUAUUACUAUAUAUAUAUAUAAAUGUAGGUAUAUAAAUGUAGGUAUAUAUAUAUAAAAAUGUAUGUAUAUGUAGCAUUUUGUUUGUAUAACAUGUAUAUAUAUUAUAUAUGUAAAUGUAUGUAUAUGUUGCGUUUUAUAUAUAUUUAUGUAUAACAUUAUAUAUAUGUAUAUAUCUUCAUAUAUAAAACAGUGUGUGUGUGUGCAUGCUCAUGGGUGUGUGUUCCUUAUGGAUUCGAAAACUGAGUUGUCAAUAUUGACAUAUGAGGUAUCAAAACAUUUGGUACUUUUUCAGCUACAAAAUAAAAUGUUUUUUGCACAACAAACACAGACACACAAACAUAUAAACACACAUAUAUAUAUACAUAUAUACGAUGGGUUCUUCCAGUUUCCGUCUACCAAAUCCACUCACAAGGCUUUGGUCGGCCCGAGACUAUAGUAGAAGACACUUGCUCAAGGUGCCACGCAAUGGGACUGAACCCAGAACCAUGUGGUUGGUAAGCAAGCUACUUACCACACAGCCACUCCUGUGCCUAUAUUAUAUAACUGGAUGUAUUUGUAGCUUUAUAUAUAUAUAAAGGUUUCUAUUCAUUUAUUCUAUUUAUUCAUUUAUUUAUUUUCUCACUGAUUCUUCUCAUUUCAAAAACACUCUGGCCUUUUGACCACUCCCCUAAGAACAAUAGUUGGUGCCCUGUUUAUCUCCUAAAUACCAACCUACCCAAGAAACGUCCCCCACCACCACUCCAUUAAAUCAGCCUAAAUGCAUAAAUACCAGAACUUAUUUUGACAGCCAGCUUCCUGAAGAUUUCAUCUGAAUGAAACAGUUCUAGUCCUGUAGAAGCUCCUUCUAUAAAAUAAAUUACUUUACUCUGCUAUGUAUUGAGUACCUUAUUUACUGUGGUUAACCCCGACUCAACCCGAGACCUACAUAUAUAUAUUUAUAUAUAUAUGAUAUGUGUUUUAUUGGUCAGUAGUUCACAUGUCUGAAAAGAAGGAUACUUUGAAACAUUAGCGCAGUCAUCUUUAAAAGGUUGUUUCUUAUGGCUGGUGAGAGAGUGACGAUUGGUUUCACACCUAUAAAGCGCUUAGCUCUAUAGGCACCUUGUCAGAGUCAACCUUACAUAUAUAUUUUAUUUAUGUACACUUCAGCUGAAAUUGUUUGUGUGUGAGAUACACCAAUUUUCUGUGGAUGUUUAUCCACAUUCUGUUUAAUUUUAUAGUUUAUUUAUUAUGCUCAAGUGGCGAAUAAAGAAAUUCUUAUUACUUUUGUCACCUCACAUAACCACAUACUGGAUAUAUCCCUUUGACUAUACAAUAGCAUUUAUACAAACCUUUAUUAUUUUUGGUAUCAAUGUUGUUCUUGUUGUGAAAUGAUAGAAGAAUGUAUUAAGCUGCAGAAAUGUAAAAUAGACAUUUCAUUUGCGAAUCCCAUUGGCAUACAAGCAUUCCGUACAAACAAACAGAAAGGUUUUUAUAGUUUUGUAUCAAAUACUGAAUUUAUUUUAUACAGCAUUUUCUAUCAGUUAAACAAACAAUACUGCAUAUAUAUAUAUAUAUCUUUAUAAUUGCCAUUGAUCCAUUUUUACCAAAUAAGGACUUUCUAGUUUGACUUAGCUACUCCAUAAGUGUUCUUGCAUGUGCUAUAUUCUUGGAUUACCGAUAUUACCUUCACUGUCCUGGAGUAGGUCAAAUGAGUUCUCAAAGAUAGACAGUUAUCUUGUGUUCAGAUUGGACAACUGAACUUGCAUGCUCAUGUGUUUAAAUUUUACAAUGGUUAUUUCAUCUCAUCCUUUGGAAAUGCAUACUGCUCUGCUUUUCAAAGUUUUUUUUUCUGUUCUGCAUGUAUUUCAUUCACUUCACAAUAGAAAAGGUAUGAAUACUAGAACUUCCCAUUUCCCUGUCCCUCUUUCUUUCUUAUUCUUGGAUGUGAUAUGUAGGGUCAUCUCUAGUUGAUAUUGAAACUCAGAUUACUGGUCCAUUUCCCCAAGAGCUUUUUGUGACAUAACACUAAGCAGUUAACAAUGGUUGGUGGAGUCAGAGCAACAGACAAAGUGGAGUUUUUAGUUAUGUACCUUUAGAGUCUCAGUUCAAAUCUUACCUGCACUGACUUUAUAAUUGAUCCUUCUGGCUUUGUUAGAAUAAGUAUGAAUCUUGUAUUGGGGUCCAUUAAAUUGACUGUACCCUUCCACUAGAUUUGUGGUCUUAUGUUUAUGUUGGAAAUUUUAAAUGUUUACAUCAAAGCUUUUACUUUAAAACCAUACCACUUAUAAGCAUAGAUGAAGUUGGGCCAAUAAAUUUGAAUUGGACAAAGCGAGGUUUUUAAUUAUAUCCCUUUUGCUUUUCUCUGUGAAUCAAACGCAUAAAAAGUAUCAAGUAGAUGAAUACUUUGUCAAAAACUUCACUAUGCAUCACACCCAAUCAUAAACUUAGACUAAUAACAUACUAUAAAAACACCAAGAUCAAAAGUGUCCUUAUCAAUAGCUCACCAAAAGCAUAUAAAUCCCUAAACAAGCAACUAAUGACCAAUAUAAUCUAUAAAUUUGUCUAAAACAACAUUGCAAACUUCAAGACUCCAACUGUUAUAUUGGACAUACUUGUGCAACACCCUCUUGUAGGUUCACUUUGCAUUUACAAGAAGGAGCUGUGGCAAAACACAAUGUUACACAUCACAAAACGAAGUUAUAUAAUAAAAUACUAGGAGACAAUACUUAUAUUGCAAUACAAUGCCAAAAUAAAUAUGCAACCAAUAAUACAUACAACAAAAAUUAACAUGUAGCUACUGACACAGGAUCCAAAUGGUUAAAACUUUGACCACGACAAACAAAUCAGCAUGUAAGUACUGAUAAAAAAGGAUAAUGGUUAAAAUAAUGACAAAACAACCUUUGGCUAGAAAGUCUUACAAGAAAGUACAAAAAAAAAACAAAAAUAAAAGAAAUAAAACUAAAUAAAAUAAAAUGAUAGAACUAGAAAUAAAAGAAAUAGAAUAGGCAACUAUGCAUUUAUUGACCCCCACAUACACACGAAAUGUAAUAAUUAAUAUUUUGUAAUUCAGGUACAAGACUGGCAAUUUUUAGUUAUGUAAGUUGAUUAUAUUUACCCCAGUACUCAACAGUUACUUUAUUUAACAAUCCCAGAGGGAUGAAAGGCAGAAAUUGACCUUGGUGGGAUUUGAAUUCAGAGUGUAAAGAGCCAAAAUAAAUACUGCAUAGUAUUUUGUCUAAUGGUCUAAUAAUUCUGCCAACUCACUGCCUUUUUGUAGUGAAUAAUACUUUUCAAAUUUUAGCUCAGGACCAAAUACUGAAAGAUAAAACAAAAUUAGAGUAGGAACAUUAGACACCAUGUUUCCUCAGGUGAAAACAAACUGAUACCCAUUCUUAAAUUAAGUGUACAAUUCCAUUGCACACAAUAACAUAUAUUUGAUCUAGGUAGUGAUCCCACUAUUUAUCCAUAAUACUUUUAAGUAAUACACAAAAGAGCUUCAACCCAGUUAUUUGUUCUGCUGAAGUAGCAGCCAAAUCUUUCUUGAAUCACAAUUUGCGAUCAUUAAGGAAAAAAGAGAAGAGACACGAUGAAUGAUAUUGUAAUCUGCUCUGUUGACAAUCAAAGGUCUCUCUCUUUCUGAGUGAAAGGAAGAUUGCAUGAUGCAUGUAUAUGAACAGCAAUACUACAUAGAAGUGAGAUGGCCCUGAAUAAGGAGGACAGAGUGCUAGUGUAUUGAGAGAAAAGUUAGGCAUAAGUAGAAUUAGAUGCAGUGUGCAAAAGAGAAGACUGCACUUGUUUGAUCAUGUGGUGCAGAUGAAUGCAGACAGCUGCAUAAAGAAGUGUCAAUCAUUUAAAGUGGAAGGAACUUGUGGAAGAGGGAGACUCAGCAAGAUGUGGGACAAAAUACUGAAGGCCUAUCUCAGGACACUGCACCUUAUGAAGGAGUUGACAAAGGACCAAACUGUCUGGUACAUUACUGUACUCAAGAAAACCCAGCCAUCACAGCAGAAUUAUUACUGCUCCCCUCUCAGCUGAAGGGGUUUUUGCCUUGCAAGAGCCCCAUGCUGAUAUCACAUAAAAAGCACCUGUGCCAAUACCACAUAGAAAGCACCUGUAUUAGCAUCACAUAGAAAGUGUUUGUGCUGGUGCCACAUAAGAAGCACCUGAGCUAGCACCACAUGAAAGGUACUUGGCCUGGACCAUGGGGAAAGCAUCCAUGCUAGGUCAUGUAAAAAGCACCUGUACUGGUGCUGCAUAAAAAGUAUCUUUGCUGGUGCCAUGUAAAUAGCACCCAGCACACUCUGGGAAGUGGUUGGCAUUAGGAAGGGCAUCCAGCCAUAGAAGCCAAGCCAAAUCAGACUGGAACCUGGUCUAGAUUUUGGUCAAACCAUCCAAUCCAUACCACCAUGGAAAACGGAUGUUAAAUGAUGGUGAUUAAAUGAAAUAUGUUUGUAAAAUGGAAUAGUUAUGGCUUGAAUACAUUUAAUCAUAGUUCUACUUGUCGGAGACUGAUUUGGAGCUAAGCAAAAACAGCAUAACACUUUCGAACUAUCCAAUUUUAUCACAAUAAGAAUAGUUUGUGUAUUUCAUUGACAUUUUUUAUUCUUUUGGCUUAUACUGCUGCUAACACCAUUUGAACUUAUAACUCAUGGAACAGAACUACAUUACUGUUAAGAGAAUAAAUGAAUCUAAAAUGCCAUCCACAUGCAAAGCAACUGUUAAGCUAGUGUUAAUUCAGGGAAUGUUUAAAGAAAAAAAGCUAGCUAGAUAUAAUUAUAAAGCAGAGAAGAAAAUAAAAAAAAACAACAUUAGUAACUGAUUAAUAUCAUUUUGAUUUUUUUUUUCUUUUUUCUGGUGUGGGAGACAACUUCAGAUAUGUUUCACUGUUAUUCUAACCUAAUCAGUGGAGCAUUUAAAGCAUAACCUUCCAAAGUUAAGAUGAAAGAAAUACAUAGUGUAUAUACUAGAUUGUACAUUGAUUGGCAUAGGAAAAUAUUGGAUGGUGUAUUUUGAGUUAACCUACGUUUGGAAGAUUGGAUAGUCAUGGUUGGAAUACCUUUGAUCAUAGCUCUGCUUAAUAAGGGUUAACUUAAGGAUCAAUAGCACCAGAACCACAAAACAAACAAAACAAAACUCAUACAGAAACCAUCUGUACAGUAUAACUGAACAGAUAGUUCCAUACUUUAACCAUACAGCUAUAGAGACAUUUCACUUUUCACAGUUAAUGUUACUUCCCCUGAGCAAAGCACAUAACUCUACUUGCUUCAGUUUACCUGACUAAACAAAAACCAAGUUCUGCUCUAACAAACAAACAAACCAUUCUCAUUUUUGCAAGCACAGGAAAAUGAAUGUGAAAGAUUAAUUUUAUAUAAUGUUUUUAUAUCACCCACUUUUAGCGAAGUUUUAUUUAUUCAUAUAUUUGCUUUUUACUUGUCUUAUUAGGAAACAAUGAAAUAUUUCAUUUUCCCCCCACAUUGCACACAUUUUAUCUCAAAUGAAUUAUUUCAGCCAUAAAACUGGAAUAUUAAAAACUGAAAUUUUGUACUCAUGCAUCUAUUUUGAGGAAUCAAAGUUGCUAAUCUUUAAAAGACAUUUAAUUAAGUUGUAUAAAUAUUUGAAGCUACCAUUGGGAGUUUAAUAGUCUUUCUAUUUUCUCUGUUUUUUUCACAUUUUCUUAUUUCAAUUAUCAAAUAUUAAAUCAAUUAGAAAAAAAAAUGUCAUUAAAGCAAAACUUUCAGGAAGCCACUUUGGAAGACUAUAUAUAUAUAUAUAUAUAUUUAUAUAUAAUAUCUCUUAUCAACAUAAGUAAUAGUUGUUGAUAUCUAGAUUUACAAAUAUGUUGCAAUCCUCUUUCUUCAUCUAUCAGUUUGUUUGGUUUUUAUGUCUGUUUUUCCAUGCUAGCAUGGGUCAGAUGACAUUGCUAAAGCAGAUUUUCUGGUCAGAUGCUCUUUCUGUUGCCAUCCCUUACCUGCUUUCCAAGUAUGACAUUUCUUUUCAUUCAAUUGGUCUUCACAUAUUGAAAGCUAAAAAUAUAGUCGUUAGCUAUAAGAUGGUAAACAAAAUCUGUGGGGUUUUUUUUAGUUUUUAUUUUUUAAUUUUCAUCCAGAUGUUGUUAAGGAUGGCACAUGAAAUGACAUUCACACACACACACACACACUUACACACAACAGGCUUCUUCUCAGUUCCUAUGUAGCAAUUCUGCUCAAAGGCAUUGGUCAAGCAGAGGUUAGAGUAGAAGACUUUUGCCCAUGAUGUCACACAGUGAACCAAACCUAGAAGCAUGUGGUUACAAAGUGAAUUCUCUAAUAAUACAUCCAUGCCCAUCUCAUUGUUAAUUUAUUUCUCUGUAAUAACAAAGAUUUUCUCUGAAAUAAAUUUGAUAUUAUGGCAACCAGCAUGAGAGCAUUCAAUAGAAUGCUUUGUGAUGUUUGUUCCAAGUCUUUGUGCUCCGAGUUCAAAUCCUGCUGAGAUCAGCUUUGUCUGUCAUCCUUUCCAGGUUGAUUAAAACAAAAGUAUUAAAUCAAAGCAGUGGAUUGACAGAGCCAUUUGUGCAUUGGACAAAAUCGGCUUGUGGUAUCUGUACUAGCUUUUUGCAUUCUGUUCUGUGAGCAGUCCCUUUGAUGACACUGGUACCAAACUGAAUAAGUCUUUAAGAAAAGCCUUUCCCUUGGAUAACAUUGGUGAAAUGGAGAGAGAAGACUUGCAUACAUGAGCAACUGCUAGUUUUCAACAAAAAAAAAGGUAAAACUUGAUCCGAGCCCUUGCAUAUAGGUGCAGAUGCAGAGUCAACCUUACCCCAGGUGGUCAAUAAAUACUGCUACCCUCUUCCAACUAAACUAUUUUUAAAGUUACACUAUACUAUGUUAAUUUCUUUAGUAUCAUAUUGUCCAGCUAUAUUUUUAAAGUAGUGUACAAUUAAAUUAGCAUUUAAACCAGCCACAUCUAUCCCCAAAUAUUCUACCUGUUUUACAUUCAAACUGACUAGAUCCAGCCUUUCACACCUACCUUACAAUGCCAUGCUGAAAAUAAAGAAUCCCAUCACUGAAAUCUCAAGGCUACAAGAUAAUUCAAUAUUAAUUCAAAAUAAUGUGAAUAAAUAAGCAUUACAUUUGAUAGAGCUGUUUGAAUGCUAAGGGGUUAAUGAAAUGAUUCAAUGAAAAAUAACGAAUAAUGAGCAUGAAUCUGUGAUAUCAAACUUAUGUAUAAAUAAUCUUGUUCAGUGCAAGGGUACCUAUACAUCAUCAAUUGAUUUGUUACAAAUAGCAGUUAAUCUGCCUCAAAUCAUACCCUACUAUAUUAAACAAAAAAAAGAUACUUUGGACAGUGUAGUCUCUGGCAUAAAAAAGAAAGAUGGAAUGGUCAUGGAUAGAGUGCCUUUGAUCAUAUGCCUCCUUAGUCAGGGUUGACCUGGGUUAAACAACAGCAAUAAAUCCGGAAAUUUCAUUUUGUUUUAAAUGCUGCAUUUAAUUAUUUUUUUAUUUUUUAUCGACCCCUGUAUGUUUGAUUGAUUUUAUUAUUGUCAAAUAAUCAAUGCCCUGCAUGCCAUAUACUGCCCUUCAUUGUCGCUCACUGCAAAUAAAAAUAAAACAUCACAGCCUCUGUGAGCAUCCUAAAAUGUUUGAUGCUUGUAGGCAGUUGUAAUCAGUUUAAAGAGAAAAAAAAAAAGAAGGUGGAGAGCAAAUAAUUCAUUUGAACAGAGUUCAACACCCACAUCGCUUGCUAUCUCUGCUUAAUACAUAAUUUUCUCUUGUGUCACUACCAACUGAUUGAUCUUUUACUUGUUUUUAAUUUUGUUUCAUAUAUUUUUUUUGUUUGUUUGUUGUUACCGAUGUGUGUUUGAUAUAAUGGCUUAAUGCAAUCACAGUUUUCGGUACUAGAAAAAUCAGCAUCCUUAUAAUCACAUCUUGUUACCAUUAUCUGAAGCCUUUUGUUUUCUAGCUGCUAUUAACUGAGUAUACAAAUUGCUAGUCACACUUCACACUUUCUGAUGAAAAAUUACUUGCACUUUGAUGGGGGGGGGGGGAAUGGAGUGGAGGAGAGGGUAGGCUGUGAGAGUAUUGCCUCUUUAUUUACAAAAUAAAUGGAUACGAAAAAAACUGAGUGCACUGAAGAUAACUUAAUCUUUAUAAAUCAACAAUCAUGUAGUUAGCAUCAAAAUGCAACUGUUCAGCAUGAUAGCAACAUUCACUACAUUUAUGUGGUUGUGUGAUGUUUAUAUAUGGAGAUGAAGAUGGUGUUUUUUUUAUGCAUAUUUUUUGUAUGUAUAUUUUAAAUAUGCCACUUUUUGUUUUCUUUUACUCCUGGAUAGAUUUUGUUUCUAUGAUUUUCUACUUCAGUGACCUAUUAUUAAACCUUAAUCCUAAAUCUAUAUGUGAAGCUACAUAGUCUAGUGCUAUCGUUCUCAGCCAGGGUCCAUAUGCUCUCUGGGGGGAGGGGGCAGUCCAUAUAAAUUUUUUGGCGUUUCAUGCAAGUGAAAUAUUAAAUUGGGGACCUUCAAUGUUAUUUUAACCCUUUAGUGUUGAGAUUACUCUGUCAAAUGUUAUGCAUAUUCAUUCACAUUAUUUCGAAUUAAUCACACAUUAUCUCACAGCUUUGAGAUUUCUAUGAUGUGAUUGUUCAUAAUUUGUUUUUUAUCCACACAGCCAUGCCUGUGCAUUUUUUUAUGUACAUAUAUAUAUAUAAAUUAUAAUUUAAGGUAUUUAAGAGAUACUGCCACGCUGUAAAUAGCAGCCAAAACCUUACUCUAAAACCACAUUAAAUGUUCAUACAGCACCUGGAGAGAAGGUUUUUUAUUCCCAUGCUGGCCACUUGAUAAGAUGAUAAGAUCGAUUUUUAAAUUAACGAUAUUAUCCUAUUUUUAAUAUAUAUAUAUAUAUAUAUAUAUAUAUAUAUAUAUAUAUAGUCCACUCAGCUGCAGUGGAGGUACGUAGUUUAGUGAUUAGGUCGUCAGAUUCAUGAUCGUAAGAUUGUGAUUUUUGAUCCCUGGACUGGUCAAUGCAUUGUUUCCUUGAACAAAACUCUUCGUUUCACAUUGUUCAAGUCUACUCAACUGGCAAAAAUGAGUAUUCCUGUGACAGACCAGCAUCACAUUCAGUGAGGGAUAUAUUAUAUACCACUGAAAACAGGAAACCAGCCUUAAGAGUUUGCAUGAUUUAGGGGGAGGAGCUUUAUCCUUUUUUUUUUUUAUCCCUUCAGGGGUAAAGGGUAAUCCUGCAAUGGACUGUCAUCCUGUUCAGGGAAAAUGAUGGCCUGCUUUCCUGGUCAGUGGGGUGGCUAUUCAAAAUCUACAACAGUACAAGGAAGCGCACUGUGAUUGGCAGUGUAUAACGACAUCUGAUAUUCUAGCCAGUGUAGUGAUAAUGACAUUUGAUAUUCUAGUCAAUAUAGGUUGCCUGAAGUAGCUAUAAUAAAAGUUAACUGAAACACCAAAGAUGAAGUUUAAAGUUUAGUUAUUGUUCACUGUUCUGGUAAAAAAACUCAAAUUAGAAAAUAUAUUCUUGGAAAGUGGGUGGUGCUAGGAAAGGUAUCUAGUCUUUUGACAUGAUUGUGUGGCUUGUCAGGUCUUGUUAAACUGUCUAAUCCAUGCCAACAUUGAAGAUGGACGUUAAAUGAUGCCGAUGGUUACAAUUUUUUUCCGGAAUUAUCUUCAAAUUAUUAUUUAUGUUCUUAUUGUUCCCUACCAAACUUUUAUAUCUUAUUCUCCGACUAGAAAUUUUGAAUGAAUAUUAUACAUUAAAAAUACAAUUUCAACAUUAAAACUAUUGCCCUCAACGGUAUUAAGCAAUAAAGAAUUAGACAGCACAAUUUAAAAAUAAAGUGGAAUUGAUUAAACAUUAAAAACCUUCAAUGCUACUUUGCUGAAAGCAUUUAUAAAUUGAUUAUUUCAUUGUUUUGUCAUUGACUUGGCUUUUUCUGACGCUACUUAUGAAUUUCUUUUUUUAACAAUGCAUUUUGUUUUGUUAUUUUCUGUUUUACUUUCUUUUUCUUUUUUUUCUGUUUUUAAAAAAUAUUUUCUGUGAUUGCUUUUGGGCCACUUUGUUCUUUUGGUGACAGAGGUUAUUCAGAAAGUAAUAAUACUGUUAAUUGUAUUAAGUUAAUCUCCCUUUAAUUCCUGUAUUUUUUCACACUUUCAUGUAUUACAGAAUUUCAUGUAUUACUCUUAUCUUGUCUGAUAAAUAAAACAAAGCAGAACUUAAAAUGUUAUCAAAUUUAGAAUGACUGUAACAUAUACAUAUAUAUAUACAUUCAUACUGAGAUACAAAAUACAGUUGUUUAAUAGUUAAUUUUAGCUUUAGAUAGUGAACAGUUUCAAGCAAGUGGUAAGCUCUGAGCAAAUUAAGAUAGCAAUACAGUUUCACUUCCUACUUACUGUUAUUUCAUAAAAGCUGCCCCAGCUUCUCAAUUAUCCUGCAUUGCUUAUACUGAGCUAAUGAGGAAAAAGCAUCUGACUGAAUCUGCUGGAAAUAGCAGCUAAAUAUCACUCAACUUCACCCAACUGUCUUAAAAAUGGUUGAAUGUACUGGAUUAUUCAGUCCUGGUUAUAGAGUGCUACAAAAAAUGGACUGGUCAUGGGUAGAAUAUUGGUUUGAUAAUAGCAACAACUGCAUAAAAAGUUAAACUUUAAAGCCUGGCAACAACCUGAAUGAGGAAGCCUCUAUAUGAUUAUUCAAUCUGAUAGAAAUAUUAGCCAGUUUUUUCUGGCACUGCAUCAGUUACAACAAUGAGGGUUCCAGUUGAUCCAAUCAAUAGAACACCGUGCUUAUGAAAUUAAUGUGCAAGUGGCUGAGCACUCCACAGAUACAUGUACCCUUAAUGUAAAUCUCAAGGAGAUUCAGUGUGACACACUGAAUGCAACAAGGCUGGCUCUUUGAAUUACAGGUAGAACUUAUUUUUGCAGGCUGAGUGGACUGGAGCAUCAUGAAAUAAAGUGUCUUGCUCAAGGACACAACGAGCCCUCAGGAACUGAACUCCUGACUCUACGAUUGUGAGCUGAAUACCUUAACCACUUUGCUACACACCUUCACAAUAGCCAGUUAUUGCUCAAAUUUCCUCAUUGAGCAAACACCCAUCUUCUUUUGUUUUUGUUUUUUAGGGUUUUUUUUUUUUUACCUUUCAACUAGUUUCAGUCAUUGAACUAUGGCCAUGCUGGAGUUUAGUCAAACAAAUUGACCCCAGUAUUUAUUUUUAAGCCUGGUACUUAUUCUAUCAGCUUCUUUUGCUGAACUGCUAAGUUACAGGGAUAUAAACAAACCAACACCAGCUGUCAAGAUGUGGUGGGGGACAAACACAUGCACACACACACACACACACACACAACAGCUUCCACUCCAUUUCUGUCUACCAGAUUCACUCACAAGGCAUUGAUCAGCUCAAGGUUACAGUAGAAGAACCAAAGUGCCAUGCGGUAGGGCUGAACCCCAAACCAUUUCAUUGCAAAGCAAGCUUCUUAACCACACAGUCAAUCUUGCACCUAUAUUAUGAAAUGCAUCCCUCGCAUAAGCAUUAGUUUUUGAAUCAUUGAAUGCAUCAUUUUCUUAUUUAAGAUAGUAGGCUAUGAUUCAAUAGAGAUAAGGCUGCUGUUUGAAGCAUGUCAAAUGACAAUGUUGAGGCUCAUUCGUUAGCUGGAGUAUUCAAUAGGAUGCCGAGAUUUUAUUAACUGUAGCAUUGGAAGGUGUAGCUUAAUUAUCUGCAAGUAUUAGCUGUCAUCAUCAAAUGUUCCUUCUAUUCAUUGUCAGCAAAAAUAAUUUGAAAUAGUUAAUAUAGCACAGUGAUCUCAGUUCACUGUCGGGUUACAUGUAUCAAUAUGAAAGCUAAUUAGUAAUUUAACUCCAAACCAGAAAUUGACGUACAAUCUUUAGUUGAGUGAUCUUUUAAUGGACAUUGCCAAUAACAGUAGCUCUGGAAAAUAUCAUUCCUAUAAUUAAUUGAACUCAUACCAUCUCUUAAAUGAUGCCAUAUGCAAAUUUCUGAUAAUUCAAGUAAACAAAAUUAAUUUUAAAUAAAUAAAUAAAAUUAACAGUAUAAAAAGUAAAGACAGAAAUUAACUAGUUGCAUGGUAUUUUAUUCUACAAAAGUCUGUGUGUGUGUGUUUUUGUGGUGGGGUGCGUUACAUAAUUUGAUGUUAAGUCACUUUGUACUCCAAGCAUCCAUCAUAUUUAUUACUUUAUAUUGAUGUAUGUCUAUGACAAUUUCAUAUUGGAAUAUAUUUUGAAAUACAAUCAAUAUUUAUAUCUUUAUUGACUGGAAUUGGAAAUUCUGACUGGUUUCUCUUAUUCUGUCUUUAGCAUUUCUCAAUUCACGUCUCCUUUUCCUAACCUUCUUCUCUUUCACACAUCUUCUGUGUAGUGUUUACUAAUUCAUUUUAUGUUCUUUCACUAUUUCUCCCCUCUCAUCCUACUCCCCUGCUUGCUUCAGUUACACCUAUAUCCACCCCUUCAUCUUAAAUUCUAAAUUUACCUACACUCACUCUCUUUGUCCUCCCUUCUCUCUGCCUUAUAACAAUUUGCGUUGGUCACUCUCUAUUUUCUUUUUUUUUUGUGUGUUUUUCUUUCAAAUCUUAUCUGACCUAUGUCCCCUCUACUUCAAUGAUCAAUCUUAUAAUAGAUUGUACAUAAAAUGCUAUAAUAUUGGAAAACACCAGUUAAUAUUAUAGCAUUAUAUAUAUAUAUAUAUAUAUAUAUAUAUAUAUACUGCUAUGAAGGGCAACAGUACAACAAAACUAUAGGCAGAUAAGAAAUCAGGAGAUAAUUUAAAGUGUAAAGAGACAGAAGAGGCACAGUGACAGAGACAGAGGUUAGAGUCAUGUAUGGGUGGAUAUAGUGACAAUAUAAAAUGGGAAGGGUUGUUGAUAGCAGACAUGAGUUUUUAAGAGAAAGGAGUGUUCAUUGUUAAGGGAUGAUGUUGAGAGUGCAGAACAGGUGACAAGGGAAGUGAUUUUAACUGGUAGCACAAAAGUGGGGUUGGAAUAUGUGCGGCUUUGUUUUUCCUUUAAUUACAGUAGCUAAGAAUCUAACGAUUGCAGUUAGUUGGGUAUCACAAAGUUGAGUUGUGGGGAAGGCUUGUCCGGUAAACAGUGGAUGUUGGGCAUAAACCUUAAGACUUUAAUGAUAUGCUUUUAGGAACUUGAGAUGGACAGCAUGACAAAUUGCCAAUCGUCUUGGUCUUUUAUUCAUCUCCAUUGUGAGGCUCAACAACCCAAUGUCAGUCUUCAUUACUUCAUCCUUUAUCUAUACGGGUCUUUCUUUUCCACAAGUUCCAUCCACAUUUAAUGAUCAGCACUUGUGCAUCUGUCUUCAUCCAUAUGUAUCACAUAGCCAUAUGAGUGCAGUCUUCUCUCUUGCACUCUACAUCUGAUGUCUCCUAUGCCCAAUUCUUCUUUCAACUCGUUUGCCCUUUGUCAUACAUGCACACUGAAAUUGGACAUUCAGCAGAGCAUGCUAGCCUUAUUUCUUCCUAGUCUUCACAUCUCUGUAUGUGUGUGUGUCUGCAUGCAUGUGUAUGUAUAUGUGUUUGUAUGUAUAAUGUGUGUAUAUGUAUGCACAUGCUAAUAUAUGCUUCACAUGCUUUAUUGAAACAGAUGACAACUCUCAUUUGCAAUGCCUACAUAUUAUAAACUUCCAAUACAAUUAAGGAAUGCUGAGAAGGGUAAUUAGCAAGGAUUGUUUGUGGGAUGUUUUAAUGAUUAACAAUGAAAAUUUGGAUAUAAAACAAUAUUAUUACAAUGUAGUGUAUAUGUGAUUCUAUUUUGCUUUGCUUCUUACCCAGAUUUUUUCUGUAUAGCCUUAAUCCAUUAGUUGUGAAACCACUUAAAAAAUAUCUUCUCUCCACAAAUCCAGAUCAUGUUAUUAACUAAAGAAGCACAUCUUUGGAUUUCCACAUUGCAGCAGUGAGGUUUUAGAUAGAUAUGAAUCUUUGGGUACAGGUUUAUUUUUUCUCCUUUUUUAAUGAGUCUCAAAGUUAUUAUUGAUGCAAGUGAAUUAGUUUUUUGCUCAAGAAGCAAAACUGAGUCUGCUUCAGUUGAGAGAUUACUAUUAUCUCUUAAAGAGCCAGGAAUUGGUUCAGAUAAGUAUCUUUUGUUUUUAUUUAAGCAAAGAAAUUUUAGCCAGUCAAUUUAUAAUGUUGAAGAAGCAAAAAAAGUAAUGUGGAGAAUAUUGGCGGUGAUUAAAGCAGCUAAUUACGUUUUAAGCAACUAUGAAUAAUUCAUUCUAUUCUGCUUUUCUAAUCAGGCUACAUACUAAAUUAUUACUGACUUUUACAUUAACGAAUUCUUUAUUAAAAAGGAAAUUAUUUAAAAUAACAAAUCAUAACUUGAUUACAUUUUAUCAUUAUAGUUAUUUUUAUAAUUAUAGAUACUUUGCAAUUAUCAUUGAAUAAUGAUAUCUUUAAAUUGUGAGUUCCUUUCUUUUUUUUUUCUUCUAACAAAGAAUAUUUAUUCGAAUAAAGCAAGCAGGAUAGUUUUUCAUCAGAUUCCUUUAUUUAUGAUCCUUGGUGGUAAAUUGCUGGUAUAUUUUGCUACAGUGUAAGAGAUAUUCUUUAUUUGCCUAGACAAUCUCUUUCUAGUUUUACACCAGGUGGCUGCUUUGAAAACUUGAUUAGUAUUAAAGUUCCUAAGAGUGAUGAAUUUGCAGAAACAAUAGUUGAAAAUGCAUUAAAAUAUUUAGUUUCUUCCUGUAUUCUGAUAUUCCUAAUUCAAAAUCAGAAUUUUGCUCUCUCUUUUCCUCUCCCUUUCUUUCUCUCUCUUUUCUCUUGUUAGUAUGGAGUUUGCUUCAUAACUAUGCUAUUUCAUGUUCUGUCCUACUGCAUGUCAUCUCAGGCAAGUGACUUCUUCCGUAACCUUGGAUUGGUCAAUGCUUUGUGAGUGGAAUUAGUUGAUGGAAACUGUAUGGAAGCCUAUCAUUCAUACAUAUAUAUAUAUAUUUGUUUUUAAGUCUGGUUAUAUAUAAAAAAAACAAUUUAACAUUAAACUGAAGAAUUAAUAGGCGUAGGAGUGGCUGUGUGGUAAGUAGCUUGCUUAUGAACCACAUGGUUCCAGGUUCAGUCCCACUGUGUGGCACCUUGGGCAAGUGUCUUCUACUAUGGCCUCGGACCGACCAAAGCCUUGUGAGUGGAUUUGGUAGAUGGAAGCUGAAAGAAGCCCUUCAUAUAUAUGCAUAUAUAUAUAUUUGUAUGUGUGUGUAUAUGUUUGUGUGUCUGUGUUUGUCCCCCACAACAUUGCUUGACAACUGAUGCUGGUGUGUUUAUGUCCCUGUAACUUAACAGUUCGGCAAAAGAGACUAAUGGAAAAAGGUACUAGGCUGACAAAGAAUAAGUUCUGGGGUCGAUUUGCUCGACUAAAAGCAGUGCUCCAGCAUGGCCACAGUCACAUGACUGAAACAAGUAAAAGAGUAAUUACCUUAACCUUUUUUAGCAGUCCCCAUUUUUAUUAAACUUUUACAAGAAGGAUAAUAGUGACUUUGAAGCUUUGACAGAGGCAACACACAUGCACGUGUGUGUGUGUGUGUAAAUGUUAACAUUCCUGCAUCUUCAUGAGAUCAGCCAAGAAACAAACAAAAAAGAAAUAGUAAUGUAUCGUUCACAUUCCCUCUAAGCUGUAUGUCUUAUAUUGCUGUACUUUUGAAAUAUCAUGGAAUAAGAGAAAAAAUUCCUUAAUUGAAAAUCUGUAACGGUUUGAUGACUGGAAGAGCAUCCAGCCAUAAAAUACUGCUAUAAAUAUGCAUAAAACACAUGCCAGCCUAGAGAAAUGGAAGUAAUGAAGUCAGUUUGAUUAGCAAUAUUUCUAUUUUUUACAAAAGCUAACUUUAUGCUUAGUCAAAAGAAAGUAAUAUUUAUGUAUCAGAAAUACUGUGACUGAUAUAUCUUCAGUAGUAGGAGACUGACUUGUACAAUAGUUACUCACAGCAAAUGCUAUUCCUAGAUACGUCUCAAUUAUUCACAUGUCUAAAUUUAACAUUUCAGGACAUAUGUUUUACAAUUAGUUAUUGAGUUGUUCUUUACCUUCUGUCUUGUAUUUGUCUCACUUGUUGGACUACAUCAUGCUGGGGCACUGCUUUGAAGUAUUUUAUAAUUGGAAAAAAUCAAUCCCAGUACUUUAUUUUCAAAAGUUACGAGGAAUGCAAACAUACCAACACUGGUUGUCUAGCAGUGGUAGGGAUAAACACAAUCAUACACCCUCACACACACACACACACAACUGGUUCUUUCAGUUUCUGCCUACUAAAGUCACUUACAAGGUGUCACACAGUGGGACUGAACCUGAAACCGUAUGGUUGGAAAGCAAACUUCUUACCACACAACCAUGCCUGUGCCUUUGUAUAAAAUAAUUUGAAAAGCGUUAAAACUAACUAGCGUGUCAUUAGUAUUGAUUUUGAAACUAUCAUGCAACAGCAAAUAUUCUGGAAAUAAAGUCAUCAAAUUAGUGAUUAAUUAAUCAAUGAAUGGAUCAUUCCUUAUGUAACACUAUUAAGAAAAUCUAUUAUUGACAACACUUGAGGCUUAUUGGUUGAGAACACAUAAUUAGCUGUGGCUGUUAAUCUUUGUUAUAAACUGCUAAAAAUUCUGUGUCAGCAUAAAUAAGAAAAUUUGGUUGUUGAUAGUCAGCUUACUAGAAAUAGCAGCAAACUUCUCAAAUCACACCCUACUAUGUUGGAAAAGGACACAUAAAGGGAGCAUCAAUCCACUGCAUCUAGGAAGAAAAAAAUAUGUUGUCAUGGCUGGGACGUCUUUAGCCCUUCAGUAUUCAGAUUAAAUUAUAUUAUAAUUCUUAUUUAUUGACAUUGUUUUGAGUUAAUCAGGCAUUAUCUUUUACCUUCAAGAUUUUGAUGAUGGGGUUGUAUAUUUUUAGAAUGACAUUGUAAGGUAGGUGUGAAGACCUAAUCUGGCUAGUUUGAACAUAAAACAGUUAGAGUAUUGUAGCUGGAUUUAGUUGAUUUAAAUGCUAAAGGGUUAAUUAUAGCUAUUCUCUAUCAGGGCUGAGCCUGAGGCUAAACAAAAACUGCGUUGUUGUAUGUAUGCUUAAUAUCAAUUCAUACGAUGUACUCUAGUUAGCUUGACCUUUUAGGUAGAAUACAAUUAUCAAAAAUCAUUUGUAGACAAGGAUAUCACUGGAUUAUCUCAGUGAUAGUUUGAAAGAGACAUACCCCUUGUUUUACAAAAAUGGAUGUUUUGUGAGUGCCAAGUGCCUACACCAAUGUGAUGUGACUGAAACUUGUCAGAUUAAAUUUAGACAAUUUGAGAAAAUGUGUAACUGAAGGAUCAUGCCAUGCUUCUGCAAGUGCAUCCAACAAAGAAAUUAUAGCAAGGAACCAUAACAAAAUGUUAGUGCUAAAAUGGUGAACAGCUUAACCAUUUUUAUCUUUGUUUCUUGUUUCAGUCAUUGGACUGCAGCAAUGCUGGAAUAAUACCUUGAAGGGUUUAGUUGAACAAGCUGACUCAGUUCCUACUUUUGAAGUCUGGUACUUAUUUUAUUGGUUCUUUUGGUAUGUAAGUAAACCAUCACCAGUUGUCAAGCAGUGUGUGUGGUGGGAACAUGCACACACACAUGCAUGAGAAGUUUCCACACAGCUUCACUCACAAGCCAUUGGUAUGCCCAGAGGGAUAAUAGAAGACACUUGCUCAAGGUACCAUUCAUUGGAACUGAACCCAAAGCCACAUGGUUGCAGAGCAAGCGUCUUAACCACACAGCAGUUUUUGUACCUUGGAAAAUUAGAGAAAUUUAUGCCUUAGAAAUCUUCAACACUACUAUUAUCUAUAAAGUUUCAAUUGGUUAAGAUUCUUAAGCUUUCACAUAUCUGCAUAUCUAACUUUGUCUUUUAUGUCUUCCUUUGAGAUUAGUUAACUAAUUUUCAGAAAAAGGAACAGGAAAUUACUAUAAAGCAUUGUUUAGAAGGCAGACAUAAUUAAGACAUUGAGGAAUUUUAUUUAUUUAUUUAUUUAUUUUUUGUUAUUUCAUAUUCUUAUUUGCUUAGCUGCAGUAAUUGUUCAAAAUUAAAAUGUUCAAUAACAGAAGCAACUAUUGUGAGAUCUUUCAAAAUUCAGUGUAUCCUUACUUUCACACUGAUAGCCAAGACAAAGAGGUUGAUGAUUUUUAACCAGUCUUAAAUGACCAGACAAACCUAUAGUUUAAAGUGUUCCACCUGUGGCCAUCCUGUUUUGUUUUUUCUUUGUCCAAUAUAUCCUUGUUUUUAAGAUGGUAGAAUGGGAAUUGAGAAAACUUAGCUGCUAUUACUUACAAGCUGAGCAACCAAUUUGUAGGACAUCUCUUUAUUCUGUAUGUGUAACUCUUUAGCAUAUUCACAUUAUUCUGUCAAAAGUAAUGCUUAUUUAUUCACAUUAUUCUAAAUGAAUCAUCCAUUAUCUUGUAGCUAUGAGGUUUUGAUGAAGUAACUGUUAAUGUUUAAAGUGAUAUUGUAGGGUUGGUGUGAGAGGUCAAAUCUGACCAGUUUGAACAAAAAUGUAGUUAGAAUAUUUUGGCCAGACACGGCCAGUUUAAGUACAAAAGAGUAUUUUAAUAAGAGUUUUCACUAAUUACGGUAUCUGAUCUUGCAGUGUGCAAAUUUUAUUGAGAAAAUAAAUACAAGGCACAGAAUAAUGUGUAUUCCAACAGCAAACCUAGCUCGUUGCCAUGGUAUUGAAUUCCCCACAGAUAACUGAAUGUUUUUAUUUGAUUGUUAAAAUCACAGUAAGCAGCAAACAAAAUUUCUUGCCAUUUUUAUUCAUAACCCUUCACAUUUCAAGUUCAGUUCUCAUAGAAGCUGACUUUGCUUUCCAUUCAUCUGUGGUCAAUGAAAUAAAUACCAGUAAUUAAUAUAGAGCUUAGGUAUAAACAGCAGCUGCCUUCCUCAGAAUUUCUGGUCAUGUGCCAAUGUUGGAAAUCAAUAUUGAUGUUAAUACUCUAUGGUAAUUUUCAGAUCAAAAAUAUUUCAUAAGACAAUCAAUACUUUAUCUUUAUUGAUUGGUAGUGAAUUUUUAACAGGUUCUUUUCUCCAGUCUCGCACCAUACACACAUACAUGUACACUUAGGCAUGACCAUGUGGUUGAGAAGUUUGUGGCACAGCCACAUGGUUCUGGGUUCGAUCUCAUUGCAUGGCACUUUGUUUGGGCAUGUGUGUUCUAUUAUAGCCUCUGUCCAACAAAUGACUUGUUAAUGAAAUUUGGUGGACAGGAACUGGACAGAAAUCAAUUAUGUACAUGGAUGUGUUGUUUAUAUGUGUGUGUGUGUGUGUGUGUGUUUGUAUAAGCAUUUCUGUGUGUUUGUGUGUAACCAUUUCUGCAUGUGUGUGAGUGUUUCCUCAUGUUUUUGCAUUGUCACUGUAUGAGCAAAAGCUGCAACAAUUAUGUCUCUCAUUAAAAAAUAUCCCAUAGCUCGGCACUUUUGCCAUGUGUGAAAGAAAGACAAAUGGAAUAUAGAUACUUGGGAAACAGGCAUUGGCAGCAGGAAGUACAUUUGGCACAGAAUAUUACCUCAAUAACUCACAUCUAACUCAUACUAAAAUGGAAAAAGUAGAUGCAAAAAUGGUGAUGGUAAUGUAUAUUUUUCUCACUCUGUCCAUUUUUAUCUAACUCUCUUCUCUCCUCAUUUUCCAAGUAGAACUAAGUAUCACUAUUCUUCCUUCCCCUUUUAUUUUUCCUUCCUGUUUCCUCUCCCUGUCAUGUCAAUGUAUUCAUGUUAAUCAUUUCAUGAAUCACAAGGGCUGGUAGCAUCUGAUCUUUAAUUCUAUCUGUUCUAAUAUUAAGCAGAGAGAAAUUGUUUCCUUGGGUAAAAUGCUAAUCUAUUACAGAUAACUGUGUAAUUUCCUCUUGCAUCUCAGACCAGACACUAAGAUGCCCACAACCAAAUGAAUAACCAAGUAUAACUUAAAAGGAAAUUGAACACUACCUACAAGGAAAUUUAUGUAUCUUUUCAGUUGCAUACAUGUUUAUGUCAUGAGCAAAGAAGACACUCUUUCACAACUAUCAGGUGAUAUCAAGGCAAUGAUACACACACAUGUACAUGCACACACACAAACACACACACUCAUGUGCACAUGUGCAUGUGCACACA
rnacentral:lncRNA from 1 species